rnacentral:lncRNA from 1 species
CGACUUCUCAAGGUCGCAUGGAAGCUCCCCUUGUAAGAUACUAUCCAAAAGAGAUGCCCUAUGUGACUGAGAUUCUACACUGGAAUUGGUAGUAGCAGAUUUCGUGGAUUUUGACGGUGUGGUAGAACUUGCUCCACCAACAGACAACCUAUUCACUUGGCUGUCUGGCCUCUGGUACAUGAUGGUGUAAAUAUCAUUGAAUCUGCUUCCAUCACUUGAGACUAGAUCACUGCCACCAAACCUGUCAUCAUCAUCUUCAUCUAGCAUAAGUUGUCGCUGUACAGCCUGAUAAAUCGUCAAAUGCCUACUAAGUUGUUUUCCUGCCGCAGUAAAUAUCAACUUAGAGGGCUCAUCUGAACUUCGAUUUAGGGUACGUCCAUGCAAGUCCCUACUUCCCCUGAUACCUCUACCACUGGCAGCUCCAAGCCCAGCCAUCGCUGCAGCAGCAAAGGAGAGUGCACCUCUAGAACCAUAGGAAUUCCCAAUGCCAGUAUCAAUAGAAUCAGAUGCCCUUGCUGCUGCGGCUCCACUAGUGCCUCCAGAAGCUGGAUUCAUUUGUCGGCCGCUGGUUGCUAGACCAUCAUCAUCCACUGAGUCCGCCAAUUUCACAUCAUGGACUUUAUCAGGCGUGCACAUGGGAAGACUGUCAUCCAAAACCUGGACAUGAAAGUAUAUAUGAUUGUGAAGGUAUUGAAAGAAAAUCAAGAGCACAUGUAAGGUACAAAGCCAAAGUUAUUGAUAGCAGCGAGAUAAAUAUGAGAAAUAGGGGCAUAAGCUAGUAAAUCUACUUGGUCUAUUCUAAAAAGAAAAGGUUCCAAGUGAGUUCGGCUUAUCAACAAAACAGACUCAACAAGGCAAGAUAAUUCGAAAAUAUGAAAGCUGUCAAGCUUUAUUGCCAAAUGCAAUAUCUAUUACGGUGUUAGCAAAAACAACAAUCGCGGAGAAGAAAACCAAAGGACAACUUACAUCUUCAUUAUCAUCAUCUUCAUCAUCAGAAAUGUCAUCCUCUUCAAUCACCAAGGCAUCAUCAAUGUCGACUGGGGAUAUUUCCAAUUCCUCAUCCUGCAAGGCAUACAAGUAAGAUUGUGUUGAGUAAGUAAAUCACACCACAAGAUCAUGAUGUAACGAAGUAACGAAGUAACGAAGUAAAACAUUUAUGUUAUCAAAAACUUAGCACUGUAACAUGCCUCAGAACUGGAGUCUCCGCUAGCUGGUUUCAUUUGAGUAUCUUUGUCAAGAACAGCUCUCUUUUGAGCAUUGCUCCUUGUUUGAGGCCCCUUAUCCGCCUGAGCCGGUUUCAUAACGCCUUUACCUUUUCCUUUCGAUGAGCUGGUACCUUUCUCAUGCACAGGAUCUUUCUUUGAAGUAUCACCGAUGUUAAUUGCCGAUCGAGAUCUAGAAGAAUGACGACGAGUGGUUGAAGCUGGAGUUGACGAAGAUGGUGAUGAAACACCAGCACCGCUAGGUAACGUGCCUGGCUCUGUAUUGCCAAUAGGCGCUGCCGGCUUCAGAGCAGAUUCACUCCGUUGAACUCGGGGCCACAGAAAUUCCUCCACUGCUGCUAAGCUUGCCAAUGGAUCUAUAAGUACAAUAUUGGAGGAGUAAUCACGUAGUGUUUUCUCUCCAGAUGCUCGGCAUAAUCGCAACUUUAAAGGAUGUGCCAAAGCACUCAAACCCGAGGAGAGCCGAGCACUUCCACUUAGUGACCUUGAGGGAUGGCUAAGGACAACAGGAAAGCGCUCCAGUGACGAUAAAGCAUUUUGAAGUUUCUGAAUCAAAACUGUCAUAGGAGGGACCUUUCCCUCAUUACCAUCAAAAGGAAGAGCGACUUCUAGAAAAGCUUUAAACCUUCUGAGUCCCUCCUGGCGAAGUUUGGGCAAAUUAAGUUCGGAGAUCUUCUCUUUGGAAAAGUAUCCACAAGAAAAAUAGUUAAGCAAUGCUGCAACCACACCACUGCCAAUAAACUCAAAAGUUGAGACACCAUCCCCUUUACUUAUCUCGCCAAGUAUCUCAGAAAUGACACCAAUCAAGUACUCUUCCUUGCUAGCAGAGAAAUCGCCAAGGAAUGGCCCAGAGGCUUUAGAUUUUCCCUUUCCUUUCACUUUAUGAUCAUCUAUACCAGCAGUUAGCUUCGUGCAAAGAUUCUUCAGAUGUAAAAGAUCAUCUGUAACUCCAACAUCAACAUCCCCACCAUCAGACGGGAAGUACUUGUCUUUGAAUGCUUUGGCGCAGGAACUAACUGUUUCCCUUAGCAUGAAGCUAGCUGUAGGAGUAUCAAGGGAAUUAUGGUUUGCCCCUAUGGUAAGGGACGCAGGAUUCUUAGGCUCUUCCGACUGGUUUCCAUCGGAAUUGGCAUUACUACUGCGCCGUCUAUAACGCCUAGAUCGUGCAGAUCCGGGUACACAGUCAUUGUCCUUAUCAGUAGGUGAGGCAUGGGAUGGUUUACCAACCAAGACAAGUUGAUCUACAGCAUGGACUACCCCUUCCCUCACAAACACUUUCGAGAAUGUUUCAGGAAGCUUUUCCAUCAAAAUCUCUGCAACUUGUAGAGCAGGAACCAAGACCUGUGGGUCUUUCCAUGCCAAGACACCAGCCAAGAAGCUACAUAAGAAGAAAAAAAUGUAAGAAGUUGCACACACUGUCGUGUCAAACUUAAUUUAUAUCGUAAACAGCAUACCUCGAAAUAUUUGUGUCACCAAUUAGAGAUUGAAUCAUUUCUGAACUGCUGAAAUACAUCAACUUUCCAAUGACUGAGAGACAUUUAUGGCGAAUCGUACCAUUGACACUAGAACCAUAGAUCUGUUGCAAAAGAAAACAAGAAUAAUUAGACAAAACAGCAGGUAGUAUGAGCAUUAUCUUGUAGCCAACGCAGAGAAAAAUUACCUGCACUAAAACUGGAAGAAGAUCCAAUCCAAACUGCUGCAGAAGUUCAGGUUGAUCACCAAGUAAUUUUUCUCUUGGUGAAAUUUUUAGAAUAUCUUCUUGUUUUCCUGAAGUACUUGGACUAGAUUUCUUUUGGCAUGAACCUUUCACAAGAGCGUUUGUGCUAGUAGGAAGAGAGAUAACUCCUUCUGGCAAUGGAGGGAGGAGCUCAUUCGCUAGGUUGACUAUCUCAUAAAUCUAAUAUAUAAAGCAAAAUUUAUAGAUUCCAGAAUUAGAGACCAUGAGAUAAAAAACCUAGAUCUAACAUAAGAGCAGAACAGGCAUAAGAGUACUCCAACAUAAGUACAGAUUAUAAGACCUGUAUAUAGACUAUGAUCAAUACACUAUACAAACACCUAAGUAAAACUUGGUAAUACAAAAACAAGUAGGAAACUAUGCCCGAAAUAGAGAAUGUACCCUAAAUUUAAGCUAUUCUUAUUUCAGUCAGGUAUUAAACAGAAAAGGUAAUUACCUGAUCUGCAGGCCGGCUCAGUGCUGGGGAUACAGAUGCAUUAGCAGAGACCCCAGAACCCAACAGAAUAUCCUUAAGAAUGCUACUAAUACCAAGAAGAAGUAAUGUCCUGAAUCCAAGAGGUGACCCGCUCGCACAGGUAGAAAGUAAUCGGAUUAACCCCUGUGCACAAUAUGGUGAAAAUGUCAUCUUGUGUAUAAGGAUAAAUAAAACACAAUAAAGAUUUUACGCUUACCGUGUAUGUUGACACACUAAGAGAUGCUUGCCCACCUCCUGAAUUGCUCGUGGAAAUAAGAGACGCAGCUUGCGUCACCAGGCCAUGGUUACAUAAUUCAUCUAAUUUCUCGGGAUACGGUGCAAAUGCUUCAGCAAUUCGAGUCAGACAGAUAGAAGCAUAUUCCAAAACCUACCAUCAUACGAACAGAUUAUGGAGGAGACUGGGGUAAGAGCGGAACUAGAUAUUAGUACCAUAUUAUAACAGAAAGCAGGUCAAUUACCUUCGAAUCAUGAUACUGAAGUAGGUUUGUCAGCAAAGGUACAGCUUCCAUAACAUAAUCAGAUGCAUCAGAAGGUAGUUUCUUGCACAUGUUGGCAGCAGUAGAUAGUGCUACGCGCUACAAGAAGCCAAGUAACAUGUGCAUUAGAUACACGAGUAAGUGUAGCAUAAAAGAGAAGUUAGAAAUUUACCCACCUGAACACCAGUGGAGAAGAAAUCCAGAUACGAGAGCACAGCCAUAAGAGCACCAGCUCGCAAACAGGCAGUUGGGUGCUCCUGAGAUAUCUUUUUGAGAGCUUGCAGAGACUGUUUUAAAACACAUACAUAAAUACGAAUCAAAUUUCAAGUGUGAUCCCUGAAGAAUUUUUAAAAAAGCAGCUGGAGCAUCGAGGAUUCAAGUAUUGGUAUGAUAGCCAACCUGUUCCGCCAAGUCCAUGUAUUCUAUGGUUAGCAAUCUGGCCACCAAGCAUGAAACUGCCCCGUAAUGUACAACAGCAGCACAAGAAGACGGCAAGACAUCACAUAGAUGGGUAAGAGCCCUGGCAGCAAGAAGCAUAAUGUCGGGAUUGCUUUCAUGGUUAAGUAGACCGACAAGAACUGGGACGAAGGAAUCAACAGAGAAGGUGCUAAGCGAGUCUUCGGUCCCAAUGGAUAACAUCUCACAAAGCUGGGUUAAAGCCUCGACCUGUUUUCCCUCUUCUCCUUCAGCGCGCAAGCCAGAGAGAAUCUUCUUCAUCCUUCCAUUCAAGUGGGAGGAAGAAGCAGAGCCGAUACCGGAAGAAGGAAGCAAGUCAUCCAAUCCAGCACCGAGCUUCCUGAGCAAGCCUUGUAAAGCACUGCUCGCAGAGCUCAUGUUAGGAUGCAUGAAACCGCCGUUGCCAUCCUCACUGUCAUUGUCGUCAUCCUCGUCAGCGCUCCUAGCAGCGGCGGCGGCAGCAUCCAUGUUGAGUUGUUCUCUGGCUCGGUCUCUUUCUCUUUCACGCUCCCUAAUCCUAACGUCAUGUUCCUUCUCCUUACCUUUGUCAGAAUUAUCGUUGUUGUUUCCCCUGUUACCACGUCCGCCUCGGCGAAAUCCAGAAGAGUCGGUGGAGGUGUCCAUGGGAGCAGCGGCGGCGGCAGAGCGAGAAGAACGAGAGCGGGUGGUGGUGGAGGAAGAAGGAGGAGUGGGGGCAAGUGAGGAAGAAGAAGAAGAAGAAAGACGAGCGCGUUUGCUGCGGGUGGUGGGACCAGAGGCAGAGGGAGGAGGAGGAGGAGAAGAAGAAGAAGAAGAUGGGGCAGCUGAGGUCGCCUCCGCCCGCUUGCGGCUCCGAGUUUCCAUACAAAGGAAGAAACCCCGAGUUUCCGAUUCGCUCGAUCAGAAAGAUUCUGAUCGGACACUCGCUCGCAUCUCACUCAGAUCAAUUCACUCCAGGGAUCCAAUUGAAACUCGCACGAAACCCUAAUUAGCCACCGGAAUUAGUCGAAAACGCCAGAGAAGAAGAACCUCUCAAAUCGAACCCAGAGAGCUAUUGAGAGAGCAUGAUGCGAAUCAAACGAAUUGGAAAUCAACAAAGGGAUUGAGAAGAGAGAUGGAAGAAGAAGGAAGGAGGGGAUCCAAUUUGGGCAGAGACGAUGAAAAGAGAGAUUAGAAGAAGAAAACCCUAAAUCGAGAGAGUCCGUCGACUGAUGAAUAAAAUAGAAGAAGACAUAUAAAUAUUAUAUAAAAAAAGAAAAGAGAGAGAGAGAGAGGCGACCGGGGACGAAUACGGUAGCGUUUUGUUCUUUCCUUACCACAACAAGUGACUGACACGGCGAUCGGGCUACGUGUGUUUCCUUCACUCCAUCGAACCCAUCUCAUACGAUGUCGUUUCGUAUCAUACCCGGUCCUUCCUGCGUUUUUAAGUUUUUUCACAUUUGGAAAAAUAUAUCACACAAAACUUGAGGGCCUCUUUGUAAUUGGAAUAAAACAUAUUGUUGUAUAAAGGCCGGGCCCGUCCAUCUGUUAUAGAUCGUACUCUGCAAAGGCUUUCAUAGAGAUUUUAAAGCCCAUUAGUUGUAGAGCGCUUCACUUUCGUUGUAUAUAUAAACUACUCAAUGACAUGUAUAUACGUUAAUAUAUAUAUAAACAAUUUAAGGUAGAGAUUUGGUUUUUCAUGUGGUUCGGUAGAGAUUUGGUUGUCUUUUCUUCUUCUACUACUUUUUUUCUAAAACAAGACAUCUUUGUUAAGUAGAUUACAUAGAUCAUUUAUAUUACAAAAAAUAAUGGAAAAUGCAAUUACCUCUUUAUUUUGUUUGGUUGGAAUUUAUAGUCUGGGACACUAAUUUGAUUCCAAUUCCAUACUUAAUGAAAACCAGGGACGACACUAGUGAUCACUAUUAUGAAUUAUGAUUUACCAAGGCCACACCCACUCAUGAACGAGUAAUUGUUCUUUUUCAUUUUACUGUCGUAAGAGUCUCGUUUGCAAUUUUUUUGUUUUUUUGGUAUCAAAAAGUUACAAUUUCAUUCCACUUCAAACAAAAAACUUUAAUUAAUAUCAAUCAUAUAAUCUGCAUACCCGAAGCUUGCGUUCGUUCCUUAUGACUGUUUUUUUGUCAUUGAAACUAUCUGCCAGCGGAAAUAUGUAUUUGCUUCAAAAAAAUUUGUUACAUGUCGUGAAAGACCAUAUAUAUUUUUGUUUCUUCUUCCUCAAGUUUCGUCUUUAUAUUAAAUAUCAAAGAAAAAGGAUUUUCCAACACAAAUUAUAGUAUAAGAUUGCGCGGGGAAUCUAAUUUCGAAUCUAGUUUAUUCGUUAAACUCAAGAUCAUUCUCUUAGAAACUUUGUCAUAGUUGGUUCGGUUAAUUUGGCUUAUCUUUGUUUUCUUUUGAUAAUUUGGCUUAUCGUAUUGUUAUAUCUCUUUUUCCACGAUAGUGGUUUGUAUUUACCAAUUAACAAGAAGAAAGAAAAAUGUAACAAACAAGAAAAGGCUCGGCAAAGAAAUGAAAAAAUCUCAACUUAAGAAAUAAAAAUGUAGACGCACAAUUAAAUACCUUCACAUUUAUAUACAUUGGUGGAUAUGGACCUCUCUAUCCCUAUUAUAUUCCACUCUUUACAAAUGGUGUGGUGUGACAAGUUAUGUGUAUAAUUAAUCAUCCACCGUCACCAACCAUCCACCUUAUUUUCACGUCUCGUAAGGGAAACAGAUCAUAGUAGCAUCUUACUCUUCUGAAAUUAAAGACUCUAUCAGUUUAUCACAACUCAACUAUUAUGGAAAACUUAACUUAUUCUUUGGUCGUCAAUAAAAUCUAAUCUUUACCUUGAGAUCAAGGUGAUCUUAAUUCUUGUAUCUGAAUACGCAAAGUUGAAAUUAAAUAUCAAACAAAUGAAUCCAUUAUUAAAACAAUAAUAAUAAAGUGGAAGGUGAACCAAAUCCCACGUCCCAACCGCAUACGGACCUAAAUAAUAUAUAGUUUUUUUUUGUUUUUGGCAGCAACCUAAAUAAUAUAAUUAUCCUACUCUUUUUUAAUAUCAGUAUAUUUACUUAAAGAAAAUGCCAAAUUAAUCAGUACAUUGUGAUUUCGCUUCUAUAUUAUAUUUGUGACACAAGUUUUGCUUUUAUAUUAUAGCACAUCGCUAUUUCCUCCACGUCAUUUACAAUCCCAUUAGUAGUACUACUAACAAGUAAUAACAUAUUAUUCCUAAAACAAAAAAACAAAAAAAAACAACAGAGAGAAUAAUUCACCUGGAGAACUAUUAUUCUCCCAUGAUGUUAAAAAACGUUUUGCAUGUAGUGUUGCUGCAUUUGGUUUUUCAUAAAACAAUAUUACGAAUUUGUCUCUUACAAUUUAGUUGCAAGAAAAAAGAAAGAGCAGUAAAUAAGUUAAUUGGGUAUAAAUAGUGAAUGUGAAAAACUGACUGAUUGGGGUUUAAUUUUGAUUCAGAUGUAAAUGGACGUAAACUUUUGUUGAUGAAUUGAAGAAUCUUGGCCUUUAGCUAAGAACCUAACCUUCUAGAAGAGGGCCAUCAUCAUGCAUGAGGUGAGUGAUUUUGUACCAAUAGAUUAAACAAAUUGAAAUUCAACUACUCUCUCUCUCUCUCUCUCUCUUUUUCGGUUUUUUCAUCUUUUUCAAUAAACCAUUAUUCUUUUUCGUUUCUUCUCACAUUUUCCACCUAACUUACCAAAUUUCACAAUUAAGUUCAACUUUUUUUGUUUAGCAUACAUGGACAGUACACAGUAGAUACUAUAGUUUAAUUAUUCUCUCCUAUAUACUGUUAUGUGUUCUAUUCUUCAACUAUUCUCCUGACAUACGAAUUACUACAUACGUAUAUGAUUAGUGUUGUCGAUCGUAUUCUAAAAAUAUAGAUACGAUUAGUGCUAUAAUAAUAUUCCGUCCAGUUAGAGUUCAACAUUAUUAAAAAAAUAUCUCUUAAUAAGUCUUGAUUUUUCAAGUCUCUAAUAUGAAAGAAAUAGAAGUUGGUUAGAGAAAACCAUUCUAAGUCAAGGUUCUAGAAGGCACAUUCUUUAAUUCAAAUAGUUUAUCAUAUAUGUAUAUUUCUAAUUUAUAUGUAUGUGUCAUGGUGGUUCUUGUUGUAUUGUUUUUAUACUGAAAUAUUAAAGAAACAUGAGCAUCAUCACAAAUAUUUUAAACAUGAAGUGCUUGUCAUUUGGUGAGAGUAAUUUGAAAACCAUAUAUAAGUUACAAGUUAUCCUGCCCACACAUAUAAUUAGUUAUUUGAUAAUGCUUUGUUUAAUUAGCAAGUGAUUGUAUUAGGGUUAAGUUCUAGAUAUAUUAUUGAUUAAAAAAACAAUAACUAAUCCAGUGCAGUCUAUAUAUUAGAGAAAAGACUGUUGACCAGUACAACAAAAACCUCAUAGGCUAUAUAGUUGACCUGCACUUGUCCAAAAAACACUCAUUAACUUUACCACCUACCUCCACUACUUCAUUAUAUCUUCUCUUCGUUAUUGCUACCAAAUUAUUCAAGUUUCCCCUUCCUUUGUUAGACCCAAAUUUUUACUUGUGACCUAUAAUAUCUGGCGAUAAAAGCCAUUCACAAACUUUUUGUUUUACUGAAUUUUAGGUUUUCUACAUUAAUUUUCACCCGCCUAAGUUUUACUACAAACUUAAUUCAUACGAUAGGUAAGAGACUCCAAAAAAAUAAAAAUAAAUUACUGUUUGUACUAAAUCGGUCGAAGUUAAAAGACGAUUUGUCAAUAAAUGUACACAGUCGAAUACUCGAAUUGUCAUGUAUUGAUUAAUUUCUUGACAGAGUUGGUUUAUAUUUUGUACUAAAUAAAACUUGUUGCAAAGUAAAAAAAGAAAGAAAAAAAAUUAAAGAAGUAGCUAAAUAAUUUUGGUUUAUGUAUAUACGAACACGAGAAAUUUCUUUGAUUACAUAUAUAUAUAUAUAUAUAUAUUUAAGUGAGAAAUAUUAAAUUUGUUGUCAUGAUUAUUAAAAAAAUGUCAUAGCUUUAUCAAAAGACUAUGAUGCCAUAUAUGUCAAGCUUCUCACUUAUUGUACCAAAACGAAAGGCCACCAUACACUACUCAUUCAAAUCCAUCCCACCAACUCACAUCUAGAAGCAAUUAUAAGUUCAACUCUCUUUCUCUCUCCUUUUCUAUCAUCUAGAAGCAUUUGUGUAUAUAUAUAUAUGUGUGUAUAUUCCUCUCUAGCUUUAAGUCAAAACCCUAUAUAAACUAUACACCAAAGCUUUGAACCUUCAACCAAACCCAAAAUCCAAGUGCCCCACCAAAUGCUUCAAUCCUCUUCCACUACACAAAAAAACAACUUAAUCCCUUUAUACCCUUUUAGCCAAAACCCUCGCUAAAAGCCAAUCCCUCAAUAUAAAAUAACAAGUAGAAUUGAUCUGCCUAUAUAUAAGAUUUUGAGACGAAAUAAGAUCUAAACCACAAGAAAGAAAGUAAACAUAAAAGUAUGGGAAGGUCACCGUGCUGUGAGAAAGCUCACACAAACAAAGGAGCAUGGACGAAAGAAGAGGACGAGAGGCUCGUCGCCUACAUUAAAGCUCAUGGAGAAGGCUGCUGGAGAUCUCUCCCCAAAGCCGCCGGACUUCUUCGCUGUGGCAAGAGCUGCCGUCUCCGGUGGAUCAACUAUCUCCGGCCUGACCUUAAGCGUGGAAACUUCACCGAGGAAGAAGACGAACUCAUCAUCAAGCUCCAUAGCCUUCUUGGCAACAAGUGAGUACUAUACUCUCUAAAUAUGGGCUUAUUUAACUAGCUAGUAUCGUUUAUACCCAAAAAAAAACAAAAAAAACUAGUAUCGUUUUAAUUUAUACAAAAUGAAAAUCUUGGAGUUUUCAAUCUAUCUAAAUGAUGUUAUUUUUUGUUGAUGAUAUAUAGAUGGUCGCUUAUUGCCGGGAGAUUACCGGGAAGAACAGAUAACGAGAUAAAGAACUAUUGGAACACGCAUAUACGAAGAAAGCUUAUAAACAGAGGGAUUGAUCCAACGAGUCAUAGACCAAUCCAAGAAUCAUCAGCUUCUCAAGAUUCUAAACCUACACAACUAGAACCAGUUACGAGUAAUACCAUUAAUAUCUCAUUCACUUCUGCUCCAAAGGUCGAAACGUUCCAUGAAAGUAUAAGCUUUCCGGGAAAAUCAGAGAAAAUCUCAAUGCUUACGUUCAAAGAAGAAAAAGAUGAGUGCCCAGUUCAAGAAAAGUUCCCAGAUUUGAAUCUUGAGCUCAGAAUCAGUCUUCCUGAUGAUGUUGAUCGUCUUCAAGGGCAUGGAAAGUCAACAACGCCACGUUGUUUCAAGUGCAGCUUAGGGAUGAUAAACGGCAUGGAGUGCAGAUGCGGAAGAAUGAGAUGCGAUGUAGUCGGAGGUAGCAGCAAGGGGAGUGACAUGAGCAAUGGAUUUGAUUUUUUAGGGUUGGCAAAGAAAGAGACCACUUCUCUUUUGGGCUUUCGAAGCUUGGAGAUGAAAUAAUAUUGUCAAAUUUUAGGCGUAACUGUACAAAACUUUUGCCUAGAUAAUUUGAAAGUAUAUCUUCAACUUGUAUGAGAAAUUUAACUGGUGAAUUAUAAUAUAUAGAAUUUGUUUUUUUUUCUCUUUUACAAAUUAACUCCAUUGGCAUAAAUAUUAAAUACCGGAUCUAGACGAUCGGUGAUAAAAAUAUAGAUCAUUAGAUCGUAUAGCUCUAUUGUAAUUAAUUUGUAUACGAUUAAGAUUAUCAGUUUAUGAGGUAAGAUUAGGUUGGUUGCCCAAAUAACUCGUUAUCCAAUGUUGGAGAUAAGCCAAAUAAGGAGAAAAAAGAUUACGAGUAUGGCAAAGAUACUUGAUCACAUAAUACUUAGAUUGUACUGGUAUAGAUGAUACCUUGUUAAGAUCUAUAAUUAAAGAUCUAGGAGAAGAACGUGAAACAGAAGAUAAAUCGAAAAUGUUUCAUGACAAGUGGAAAGUGAGGUUUGUAGUUAAUUUGGCAGGAAUAGAAAAGUUGUAAGAGAAGGAGGUAGGAGAAAACUUAAAUGUUUUUAAGAUAAAAAAAGGAAAGAAAGAGAUAUGUGAAAAAGAAAAAGAAAAUAAUGAAAACCAUAAAUGAAGGAAAGGAAGCAACAACCAAUGGACCCUUUCUUCUACCAAACUCUAUUUAUUUCUCACUACCCAUCUCCCUACCAACCUAUAUACCAACCUUUCCUCAUCUUUUGUCCACUUGCAAGCGAUCUACAUCUGCAUACAUACAUACAUACAUACAUACAUACAUACAUAUUACACAUGAAUGCAUAACAUACAUAUACUGUAUAUCCAUAUACCACAUAAUAUAUUUAUGCAUGCAUGCAUAUAAAAAUUAUGUAUAGGAGUUUCAUUGAAUGUAGCCACAUGGUUGAAUUUAGAAAGAGUAGCGACUCGUAAACUUAAACAUUGUUCUAUCGUAAGAUGCUUGGUAAAAUCGGUGUUGUACAUGUUCCUUCGUUGAUAUCCUCUCCUCAACACUACAAAAACCCUCUCUAGCUACUACAUUAAUUAUCAUCUCAAAUCCCAAUAGAGCAGUAUAUUAUUUCCUCGUAUAUAUUUAGAUUUAGUUUUAAAAUUGAUCAAAUGGUUAUAUACUCCAGUUGUGUGUUUGUUUUUUUGUUUUGGCCAAAAAUUGGUAAGAUCUCAAAAACUGGUAUAAUCACUUGAGAAAUUAUAUGAUCACCAAAUGACAAGUUGUUGUCACUAGCACUGGGGCUUGAUAUAUAUCAUAUUCUGAUGAAGAUACAAACUCAACAAUAAUGGAAUCAAUAAGAGUUUUCUCAGGUUGCAUCAACUAAUGAAACAAAUUUAAAGUUGGAAAAAAAAACAAAAUCAGUUGAAGUCUAAAAUAAAGUUGAGAACGUUUGAUUAAUUUCGAACAUCGAGAUUUAACAGUGGUUGGGUAAAUAUUAUGAAAGUGAAGGAAUAACAAAAAAAAACAUGUAGAAGUUGAUAGAGGAGGAUGAUAUUUUGGAAAUGAAAGAGAUGGGAGAGGAGGAGUGGUGAGAACUGAAGAUAAGGAAAAAGGGGAAAAGGACAAAAGGAUGACCACACACACAGACACAAGUGAACAAAGACAGACGCACCUGCCUCCUCUUCCUUCUUCUUUCUAAUAUUAUUCAUUUUCAUUUGUAAAGAAACGACUUUUUCAAAAGGUGUUAGGUAGAUGCAAUAGAAGCUUCUAUCAGUUUUUCUUCUUUCUUUUUUUUUAUGUUAUAGUUUGUGAGUCUUGUGACUCUUUUUGUCUUUCCCUUUCUUGCUCUAAAAGGGAACAAAGAAAUUUCGUCACUAAUAAGUUUCCCCAAUAAAAAGUCUUUAACGAUAGUCAUAUUUAGCAAUUCAAUUUGUUUGUGUAGCAUAGUUUACACGUACGUAGAUGAUCAAAACUACAGCUCGCAUGUGGCAAUUAGCAGACAAAUACACAUAUCUUGGGAUAAAUAUAAAUUAAAUAAUGCAAAUAGAUUGCAAUUAGCAGACUAAUAAGCGCAUAUAAAAAUUAGAUUGCAAAGAACAAAAAAACGAGCCAACAGUAGAACAAAGGAAUUAAGUACCUAACUGCCACGUGGGACUUUAAUUACUUGGAGAAAAACAUAACUUCGCAGAAAUGUGAGCAAAAUUUAAUUACCAAUGUAGACUUUUUGCACUGUCGUAAGAAUAUUUCAGAUUUGACACUUGUGCAAGGUUCAUUACGAAUUUAGGACUCGCUAUUCUACUGAAUUGAUCGAGAGACCUGUAACAAAUAGGCUUACUUUCUAAGAGCCCAUUGACAUAAAGUCCAAUAAAAAUUAAGAAGGAAGCUAGUCCUUGACUCGUACAAUAACAACAUUAUAAAAAGGCGAGAGAGAGAGAAAAAAACAAAUUUCACAAGGCAGAGAGAUUAGUUAAAUUCAGUUCCAAUCUCUAUCAAACCAAAGAAACAAGAGGAAUUUUUAUUGAGACUCUCAGAUCCUUCUUCACUUCUUCUCAUCCUCGCCUUUUUUGCUACUACUCUCUUCCUCCUCGGUACGCUGUCAUUUUAACCAUAUACAUUUAUCAGAAUCUUCUUUUUCAAAUAACAAAAAGAUGUAAUCAUAAACAUCAACAAAGACACACCUUUGACUCGUCUGGCAGAGACGCUAGUAGUUCUUUAACUGCCGGAUCAUUUGGAUCCACCCCAGGAAGCUGCGUGUACACAAAGUCUUAGUACCAAAGCUAACCCUACUACUUUUCUCUUUCAUUUUGCUUGUGAAAAAAACUGACUAAGGUUUAUGUAGGCUUACCGAUGAGAGAACAGACGAUAUGAAGGCUUGAUUUCCCAAGAGGUUGUUUCCAGCACCUGUAGCUUCACUUGACUCUUCCCCACUCAUUGACAUUUGCAGAGCUGCACAUGGAGUAUAAAAAAAUAUAAGAAAAAUGCCAAUUUUGAUUGCCAUGGAUAUACUUUUACCACACUGUUCUACUUACCUAAAGCCAGAUCCUGGUCCUCAUCAGCCGCUUCUGACAUAUUCACAUCACCAACAGACAUAGCAAUUGCCUGAUCUAGCAACGCACUGUCCUCAUCCUGCCACAAAAGGUUGUAUGAUUAACAAUCUCUCCGCCUGUGACUAUAUAAGAAUGCUACACUCAAUUUUAAGUAACAACUAACCAUUGGUUCAGCGUUCUUGUCAGUUGUCCUAGCAACUGUCUCCUGUGAGGCGGAAGCUGUGUCCCCAUCUUUGUCUUUCUGACCUGCCUCAUCGGCCGCCUUCUUGGCAGCAGCUUCUUGUCUUGCUCUCUCCUCCUCCAUGGAGACCCGAAGGGCAAGAGCAAGUUCUGGAUCGAUAUUUGGGUCCACACCAAAGUCGAAGUCCCCACCUGCGGCCGCUGCAGCAGCUGCCGCAGAAACAUAGCCACUUGCACCCUCAUCACCCGUGAAUACAGGUGUGCUGGAAGAAAAUUUAAAAGUUAAAACACUAUCUAUGAUUCAAAUCACUGUCUAAAUGUUUUGUUGCAGCAUUGAUAAAAAGCAAGACUAGAGAGCUCAAAAGACCUAAACACACAAAACCACAUGAAGUGCACCUACCAAGCCGGAUAUUGUUGAAACUGUUCCUUUUACAAUCUACAUAACCUAGAAAAAAAGAAGAAAAGGGAUGGUACCUGAGAAGCACAUCUGAGAGAGCAUUGGCUCCAGAAGGAACAUGAACAAUGUGGCUACCGUCAUUGUUAUUCACAGCUGUAAGGAGCGCCUCGAGUUUCUGAGGCUUUUCCUCAUCAUCAUCCUCCCCGAAAUUGACAAUAUCAAGAGAGACACUAUUCUUCUUCAGCCUUUUUCCAACUAUCUCUAGGGCCUUCUUCUCGUACUUGAUUGGACUAAAAAGUAGAAGCAGAAGAAAAACAUCAGUAUAAAACUAUACAAAAGUUACUCAGCAAAAACAAAGCAAUUCGGUACCUUCCAGCAAAAACAAUAAUCCUUUGGCGUUGAUUCUUGUUUUGGCGAUGCUUAAGAGCUAGCUGGGCGAUCUGGAUAGCUGCGGUUAAGUUGAUCUCUCCUCCCACAUCAAGGCCUGAAAAGAUGACGCAAGUAGCAAAUUGAUGUCAAACUCAAUGAUAAAGAGAAAGAACAGAUUUUUUCUAAUUGCUCUAAGUAGACAGCUAAUAAUAAAUAGAAAGAUUGGAGAGAGAGAUACAUACCGUGCAUACAGGCCAGAAUUUUGCCAAGAUCAGAGGUAGGAGUAGUCAAUACUCUAACUCCUUUGCCAGCCAUUGUCAAAAUCCCCACCGUAUUCUCCGGAUUCGACUGCAAUUGCAAAAAAGAAAGAUCCCUAAAAAUCACAAUCUCACGCAAACCCAAAAACCCUAAUCGAAUCAAGUGAAAAAACGUAAAUUAUUACCUGGGUUUUGGCUCCGCAAAGAAGAUUAACAGCUUCCGUUUGCGCCUGUAACCUAGACGGAGAGUAAUCUCCGUUUCGCAUCCACUCGGAGUUGUCGAUACAUAUCAUAGUCGCCUACAACAAGAAAUCAUCGAUGAGAAAAAGCAUUCAACGUGGAUCAUCAACGAAGAUAAGCACAAGUAAUUGGAAAAUCACCUCGAGAACCAUCGUGUCGAUAAGCAGAGAGAAGCUUCAAAAAUUCUGUCGUAGAGAGAAAGUCAGGAAGGCAAGAUUUAGAUUUUAGUUUAGACCGAUAAUAAUAACAUUGUUCUUCUUUAAAUAUCCCCUUUACUUUUUUACUUUCUCCUUUUAGACCCUAAUGUUUUACGUUUAUUUCAAUUUAGCCCCAAUGGUUGUUUUUGAUAAAAAGCAAAACAAAGUUGAUUUAUUAAUGAAUAAAAGAAACACAGACCACAUUACAGUAAUUCCUAUAACUAAAGUCUUUCUUUUAUUCAACAUUGUUACCCCAUAACUCUACAAAACAUCAAUAUAAACCCCAAGAAGACAAACCACAGUUCACCAGAGAGGAAUUUACAACGGUGCUAACAAACAAAAAAAGAUACAACAAGCAGAGACGUUGGAUCAUCUUCUGCUAUGCAUUAAGAGCAUUUGGGAUGAGAGAAGAUCUUGUGCUUCUGCUGAUAGGCAAGUGAACAUAAACCUCGUGAACUUCCUGCUUACAUACAUCCCCUUUGUCUCUAUCAAUCGCGUAACAGACAUAGAUUGUGUCAAUCACAUCGUCAAGAACAUGUACAAAGAAAGCCAAUAUCACAAUCAGUAACACCCACGCCAGUACAGCCACCACGUACGAAUCUAUACCCAGGUUGCUCACUCCUCUCAGAACAGCCCAUGUCUGCUUUUGCGCAUCAUCAAACCCCGGAAUUAGUCAUUAUGGCAAUUAUUAAAUGCUUGGUUGGUGAGACAAGCAGAAGAUAAUACUUACCGCGACUGCAUAUGCGGCUGACAGGACAAAGACUAUUCCGGUUAGGAUUCUGGUGGAAACCGUUUCGACAAAUACAGCUGACAGUAGGUUGCGUCUUAACAGCUCGUAAGUCAUUUUCGCAGAGGUGCAAUACGCUUCCCCUGUUAUUGCAGCAAAGUUGAUGGUGAACUUGUUGAGAUAGUCAAGGGCACCAAGUAAGGCGUUUGCACAGCAACGGAGAACCAUGUUCACUAUUCCUUGUGUGUUCUCUUCUCUUGCAUUGUCCACAAUUGCCCGGACCACACGAACAAUGCAUAUGAGAAGUCCUGAUACACAUAUCGUACCAAAGGAUUGACCAAAUGCAUUCCUGAAGAGACAGAUACAAAAAAUAAUAAGAUUCACACAUGCUUUGACAUAAACCAACAACAGAUUUGAAGACUAAUGCAAAUUUGGAUCCUCAAAGCUAUAAUCUCCUUUCAAAAAUACCACUGUCUGUUGUCUCUUUUCACAUUUAAAGUACCAAACAAGUUCAGAUGAUGGAUUCCAAUACAAUAUCCAAUCUAUAAGGCCAAGACUAUGAAUACCAUGACCUAGAAUCACUGAAUACUCCAGAACGAAGCCAAGCAAGGGAUACUUCGAAUGACCAUAGAUUAUAUUUUAUGAGGAAACAAAACUAAGAGAACUCAAAGCAAAAACUCCCGCGAUCACACAAAACAUAUAUUAGAACUAAGAGCACCAUUGAUUGUAAGAGAAACUGCACAGCAAAUUCAUUGAUAACAAGAAUAAAAUAGAGAAAGAUGUGGCAGCGAGUCACCUCAAAGAACUCCGGAUGCAUUUUUUAGGGAUUGAGUCUUCCUUGGAGAAAUACCACUGAGCAAUAGCUCCACUUAUCACAUACACUUGCAUUUCCACCAUUACAGCAAGAGACCAGAUCAUCGUUAAAAUGGCAAGAGCGUAAUACGCAGGAACCCAAGAAUCUUCUUUCCACUCACAAAAGUACUGACCAUCCAACUCUCGCGGCACAAACUUCCCAUUAAACCUUGCAAACACCAAGAACACCACAAUCGGCGCAUAGUACACCACUAACCCGAGAGUCAGCAGCGGCAGCACAACAAAAAGUUUCAAAUUUUUGGACAAGGCAUCAGAUGCAACACUGAUGAUUUGGAUAGUAAGAUCAAUUCUGUGCCAAUUAGCUACUAUGAUCCAGACAAUGAUCCCGAUGAUCAAGAAAACAAAGACUAGGACAAGUAUUCUGUAAGCUAGAGGGAGGGCAUCGCUACAAGAAGAGCUAAGAGUACAGGCGACAAACCAAUAGACAUUGAAAAAGAUGGGAAAAAGGACAAAGAGAGGUAAACAAGCAUAAACAAUCUGCUUAGUGUAGUGUUUGAGCAAAAGCAGGACGCUAAAACAGAAGGGCACGCUUAAAAUAAGCGUUACAACAAGUGUCCAGAUCAAAUCCUUCUCAAAGACUGGAUCAGACGAAGAAACCAUGCCGUACAUGACACUCGAAGAAGCCCAGUAGUACCCAUCCGAAAUUUUCGUAAAGGUAGAAUUUUUGACGCAGGAGCUAGAGGUGAAAUCGUAGGUGAAGGAAGAGGAGUUCCCGUAAUCGUUAUUUCUAUGAAAAAUGGAGAAGAUUCCAAAACCAAAGGUGGAGAGUACGAGAAGAUCGAAGAGAAGUAGGAAAGGGAUGUCCUUGAAAGUUCUUGGGCCAAAAUUGUAGGAGAUCUGAAGAAACUGAGUUGGGUCGGAUUCGGGAUCACUUCGACGCGGAGAAUCGAGAGCGGACGUGGAGGGUUUAGAGAGAAGAGGGUGUGACGGAGAGGAUGAGUCGUAGAUUGCAGCGAAUUUAGUGGGGUCGCCGUCGUCCGCCGCCAUGGUCGUCCACAGAGAGAGAAGAAAGCUCCGCCUCUGGAGCUAAAUGAUGAAGAAGCUUAAGCAGAAGCAGAAGACGACGAAACUCAAUUUAGCAUUUUUUCUUAAUCACAAUAAUUAAUUAGUGACGAUGCCGACGACCACCGCCCAAGCGGCCAAGCGAAGAUGAUCCAAGAUCUCGCCACCACAAUGCUCAAAUUUAAUUCGUUGAUUAGUCACGUAUACAGGUAUUAUACCGUCCAAAGGAGUAUUAUUAUCUUCAUGUGCAUUAAAAUAUUAGUAUAGUUUCUUUUACCAGUAUUAAAAGAAAAAUUCACGAAGACAUUGAGACGGGCUUCGAAGAAAGUCUGAUAAGAGAAUUCUCAAAGCCCAACUAGCCGUAUUAAAGCCCAAAUCAUCGCAUGCAAGAGUAAUAGUCCUAACUCCUAAGGAGCGUGUGACUGCAUCACAAGGGCAGAUACGUUUGUUAACUUGGGCCCAAUUGUCACUUGUAAAGCUAAAUCUUUGAAAUCUUUUGAGAGUUUAAACUUUAAAGAUAUGAAAUUUAGCUAAAUUCGUACAAAUUUAUAUCCAAAUGUUGACAACAACGUAAUCUAAAAAUGCAUAGACGACAAUAUUGGUUUCCCUUUGUAUCAACUAACAAAAUUAAUUUUUAAAAUUUUGGUGGUUCUUUAGUUAUGGUAAUUGGUUCCUUUUGUAUUGUUUUCCAAAUAUUUGAGUUCUAUAAAAUAAGAAAUUAAAAACAUUAGUACAAAAUCUUGUAAAUUUAAAUUUCGAAUCAAACUAAAUAUGUUAAUUCAAAAUCUCUAACUUUUAAUUAUAUAUUUUAUAAUAAAGUAAAAAACUAUAUUCAAUAUUUUUAUUAUCAGAUAUAUCCAUCUCCUAUAGAAAACAAAUCUGGAUCGUAGCGUGAGUUUGCAUUUUGCAGGCGUGAGAGUUUUUUGCACGCACACACACACAAACACAAAACAAGCAAAUGGUAAGAUUUAGGUAAGAAACUUGUAACCAAAGCAUGCAUCAACCCGUGGUACUCUAAUAGGCUAGUAUCUAUAUAAAAGCACAACUUCACAUGACAAAAAAAACCACUUCGCAUAUAACAACAUCAUCACGUGAACUCACUCAAUAGGUUCAGUGUUUCUGACAUAUUGUUCCCUCUCUGAAUGAAACUCUCCCAAAUAGAGAAUGGCCUAACCACCUAUCCAACCGCAUCAAGGCACUUGGUUUCAUCCCCUUGAUUUCUCUCUUUUUUUCUUUUCCUAUCGCAGGAUUUUGUGUUCUUGUUUUGAAUAUGAAAUGUUCGUCGAUGUGUUGUUUGAUCCUCUUGGCCCUUUCUCUCCUCACCGCCUUCACUCUUGCUUCUUCGUCAAAUGGUACACACAAGUAUAUUAUAGCAUACCAUAGUAUAUAACAUACAUGUAUACAGAAUUUUAGCUUGAUAUAUGAUGUUUUUACUCUUCAGGUAUAGAUGGACCUUUCUACGACUCUACUGCCUACACAGAGGUUUUUAAAGCUUUGAGCUAUUAAUUCAAUUUCACAAGAUAUGUAAUUGCGCAUAGAUAGAAAGUAUAUAUACAUUAUGUGGUAUGUGAAAUGCAACAGUGUAGAGCCGAAGCAGAGAAGCCACUAUACAAUGGAGGAAUGCUGAAGGACCAAAAGCCUUCCGUCCCAGGCAAAGACUCUCUCACAGGCAUUGGUGCUCAUUACACACCAACUUACAUAUUGCACAAUCUCACACAGAACACCAUCUAUUGCUUCUCCAGUUAAGCAUUUCAUGCUUUCAUCUCUAGAAUGUUAUAUAUUCGUUAACAGAUGAAAUGAAUGUGAUGAUCUGACUGAUGGACACAGUAUGGGUGAAGAUAGAGGCUGGUGCUGCAUCAGCUCAUGUAAGAGCAAGGCUGAGAGCAGACAACGCCACAUUAAACUGCGUCGGUUCUGUAACUGCCAAACAUGGUUGCUGGUCUUUCCUCAAAGGAGGAUUCCUUCUUGAUUCUCCUUGUAAACAAUCCAUCCUCUUCUUUGAGGUAGAUUCUAUAUAUGCUCAAAAGUAUCUCAUUAGCUUAGAUGAUCCCAAAGACUGUAAAUUUUCUGAUAAUGCAGACAUCAGAGGACGAUGGUAAGAUCCAAUUACAAGUGACGAGUGCCUCUCUUCAGCCAUUCACGCAGGAGCAAUGGAGGAACAACCAAGAUUACUUCAUAAAUACCGUAAUACACACACUAAUUUCUAACGUUAAAAUCGCAAACUACAUUCUUUAUGUGGUUCCUCCUUAACACUUAUUUUCAGGCGAGAAAACGAGCAGUGACAAUUCACGUGUCAAAAGAAAACGGAGAGAGCGUUGAAGGAGCAGAGGUGACAGUAGAGCAGAUCUCUAAAGACUUCUCCAUUGGAUCUGCCAUCUCCAAAACUAUCCUUGGAAACAUUCCUUACCAAGUAAAAGACACUCGCUAAAGUCUACACUAAAACAACAAUGUCUUUGCUUCUUCAAACGGAUUCUGUUUUGAUAGGAAUGGUUCGUCAAGAGAUUCGACGCCACGGUAUUCGAGAACGAGCUGAAAUGGUACGCGACGGAGCCCGAUCAAGGCAAACUCAACUACACAUUGGCUGAUAAGAUGAUGAAUUUCGUCAGAGCCAACAGAAUCAUCGCUCGCGGUCACAACAUAUUCUGGGAGGAUCCCAAAUACAAUCCCGAUUGGGUUCGUAAUCUAACCGGCGAAGAUCUCCGGUCGGCGGUUAACCGGCGAAUCAAGAGUCUGAUGACUCGGUACAGAGGAGAGUUCGUGCAUUGGGACGUGAGCAACGAGAUGCUUCACUUUGACUUCUACGAGACUCGACUGGGGAAGAACGCGUCGUACGGAUUCUUCGCCGCGGCUCGUGAGAUUGACUCAUUGGCGACUCUGUUCUUCAAUGAUUUCAACGUGGUGGAGACUUGCAGCGACGAGAAGUCAACGGUUGACGAAUACAUCGCGAGGGUGAGGGAACUCCAACGGUACGACGGCGUAAGGAUGGACGGAAUAGGUCUCGAGGGUCACUUCACGACGCCAAACGUAGCGCUGAUGAGAGCCAUCCUCGAUAAACUCGCUACGCUCCAGCUCCCAAUCUGGCUCACCGAGAUUGAUAUCAGCAGCAGCCUCGACCACCGCUCUCAGGUUCACAAGUCUCUGUUUUCCGGUUUAGUUCAGUUUGCAAUUUGAAUCUGGUUUUGGUUACAAUUUUUAGCCGGUUUAUUAACGGUUUUUCGAAUUGAUUUUGGCUGAAAUACGGUAUGUCUGUUAGGAUGAUAAAAUCUGGUUGGAGUACACAUUGAUUAUACUUGGGUGCAAGUAACCGGAAAUUUGUUACGUUUUCAGGCGAUUUAUUUGGAGCAAGUGUUACGUGAAGGAUUCUCGCACCCAUCGGUAAACGGUAUAAUGCUAUGGACCGCACUUCACCCAAACGGCUGUUACCAAAUGUGCCUCACUGACGAUAAAUUCCGGAACCUUCCAGCCGGAGACGUGGUGGAUCAGAAGCUUCUAGAAUGGAAGACUGGUGAAGUUAAGGCGACGACAGAUGACCAUGGUUCCUUUAGCUUCUUCGGCUUUUUGGGAGAGUAUAGAGUUGGCAUCAUGUACCAAGGUAAGACGGUUAAUUCGUCUUUCUCGUUAUCUCAAGGCCCUGAGACCAAACAUGUGAGGCUUCAAAUCUAACUUAACGGCUCUAUGUUUAAGAUAUGGUGUAAAUCUUACUGAGGUACAAAUAGAGGGAAUAUAUCUAUUUUUCAAUUUGCAAAUUUCGGCCAGUAACAAAAUUGAAUGUACUGGUGGGGACAAAAGUAAGUGACAAUGGGUCAAAAGGAGAGACGAGACUUUGUGGCGUGGGCAAACUUUUUUCAUAAAUUUUUUAUGAGAUAGUGUAGAAACAUCAAAUCAAACAUGAAUCCCUGCAAAAGUAACUUUAAAAAGCUAAAGUGGAAUCAUUCACAUCACACAGCCAUUAACUGUGAGCCCCAGCUUGCCUCUGUCGACAUUAUCAUACACUUAAAUGUUACUAUACUCUCUAAGAAUAAAGAAAUACACCUACCAACAUCCAAACACAAUAAAUAUGAAAUUAACUCUAGUGGCCUAAUCAUCACUUUGGUAGAUCUAAAGCCACAAAAGAUCUUUCUUUAAAUCACAAAGCAUAUCUCACAAUUUCGAACAUGAUAAACAAUCUUCAAUGACAGAUGAUACAAGCAAACACGCGCGUACACGACAAAGCUACAAUGCAAAACCCUAAAAGCCUAAAACCCAAAUUGUCGCAGUCUUAAGCGAUAAUCAUCGAGUAUCAACAAAAACUAAACAAAGGCAAUGCUAACAAAACGACUACCAAAUCUAAAGACGAUGAUGCUACGAGAAAAUAAACGGAAAAGUAAAUGCAGCAAGCAGCACUGUCAAUGAAACGCCGGCUGGUCUGCUUGCCUCUCCCAUGGCCAAACCAGCCAUCCAUGAUCCGUCUUGUAACAUGGUCUCACCCGUACCCAUCUCCGACCCAGUCCCCUGUGACCCGUACACAUUACCUUGACCUGGAGUCUGUUGACCCUGACCAGCGUAACCAGUAUCAGAACCAGGCACAGGAUCGGAACCUUGUGAGGUCGACGACGAGUCUGUCACUGGAGGGGAGUAGCUAGUCGAUUUUUGACUGUAUAUACACAAAAUGAUUCAAACACUAAUCAAAAUGACUGCAAUGUCAAAUCUUUCAACUUGCGUUUUCAAACUAGUUUGGUAUUUUUUGUCAUUCUUGAAACAAAAUUGCUACAAACUUUCUCGAUUAAAUUACUCGUUAUUGACAAAACAAAGAGAAUCUUUUGACUCUAUAAAAUGAUGGUUUAUGAAAAGAAGAUAAACACAAACUUUGGCUUUUCCAACGACAAAAAACACAAACCCAAAAUCUUAAGAUUAAUUAUUACGAAACCCAUUAACACAUACUAAAAGUUUCAAUUUUUCAAAGCCAAAGCAACGCAGCAAUUGUGGAACUUAAAAAAUGGAUAAUAUUAUAAUCAGUAAGUAUUUACCUAGGGGAAGAAGGGCAAAACGUCACCGUAUAAUCUCCACCGGCGCAAGUGAAAGUGCUCGUAGCAUCGUCGUAAGCGUAGCUAUAGGAGCGAGGACACGCGGCUUUAAACAUCUCCGAAUACACGGAAGGCCGACAACUAGAAGGUGUAGCAUACGCGCCGCUGCAACAGUAUUCAGGACUCCGAAACGCUAAACACGCGCUUUUGCAAGCGUCUCCGUCGCCGAAACGCAGCUCAGCAGGGCACUGAAUGUUAAGAUCCGUAGUGCAUCCGGUAGAAGCGCACUGCCCAGAUCCACCGGCGACUUCAACUAUCAUCGGAAUGUUGUAACCGUCGACGAGACUAACGUCGUAGAAAUCAUCGCCGCCAGUGCCUAGAGUGAACUCCGCGAGAGUUACAGGCGGUGCGGCACCAAGCCCGGCGCAUUCGACAGCGUUGGAGCCGCAGUCACCGGUUUUGCAUGUACCGGAGCCAGAACUGUCGAACUUGCAACCGGUACGAGCCCAGAAUCGACCGGACCAACCGGUGGGAGCUUGGAGAGAGCGAGAGGUGCCUUUAGGGAGCUCAAAUCCGGUGGUGGAGAGAGUAGGUGAGCCAGCAUUCGAUAGGAUUCCAGGCCAUACGGUGUAGCCGCACCGAUUAGCGAAUGUGAAUGUUGAGCCAUACGAACCUUUUAACAUCCAAAAGAUAAAGAAACAAAUCACUAAAAAAAAUGAAACUUUGAAACGAGUGUAAGUAGAUGUGAUAGACUUUGAAGUAAGUGAGUGAGAGACUCUUCUUCUUCUUCUGGUUAUACCUGUGGAAGCUAAAAGGAGAACAGUGAAGCUCAAUGUGAGAGUGGAAGAGGCGCGACGAGAAGAAAGAUUCAUCAUGGUUCUUUGUCGUACUCAGUGUUCUUGGUCUAUUCUAACCAGAAGUAAAGGUCUUCUUUGAUGUUGGGAAGAAGAUGAGAGAGAUUAGUAAAACUGUGAAGCUAUUUGAGUUGAAAUGGGGUUUUGUUAUUUUUUUCCUUGAAUUUGUUAUUGAGUGUUACUGGGCUCUAUGCCUGAAACCUGACAAAAUUUCUCUUGUGCACUUAUUAUUGAAUCUUUUUAAUUGGGUUAAAAUAACUACAAAAAAGAUUUAUGGGUAGGAAGAGAUAGGACCAAAUGGUUUUCAAUAUCAUUAUUCAUUAUUAUUUCACUUGUAAAAAAAUAUAAUUGUAUUGUUAUGAUUUUCUGUGUAUACUAGUACUACUAUGUCUAAAUUAAUUAAAAUUCAUUUUCAUUUUGUGUAAAAUUAUGAUGACAACGCCGUAUUUAUUCGUAUCAAUUGGUUGAGGAGCUUUGUCUGUGUAAAAAAAAACUAUGUUAUUAGCCCACACUAAUUGGGCUUGAAAGUCGGCCCAUGUGAAGGUGGAAAGUGGACCCGCGUUCAAAACACAACAAGAAAAAGACAAAGAAAGAUGAGAAGCUUUGGGGCUAAAAGGGGGACCUACCGAAACUAUGUUAAAGCAUAUUCAUUUCUGUGAUUGUCCACAGUCCACAUAACUUUAAACCCAAAUUUCUUUGAAAUUCGAGUUUUGAAUCGUGAUAAUUGCUUAUUUUUCACAAUCCCUGAAAACUAACUAUCCCCAAAAAUAAUAACGAGAAACAUAACUUUUGGCACAGAGCCAAACAAACAAGAUUAUGUACCAACUACCAACUUACAAGUAAAAUAAAAAGUAAACCAAUUACUGCCAUAUUUUUGACAUUCCCUUUCUUUGUUUUUGUUAUUAGAAGGAUUAUUUUAAGGGUGGAGACUGUGGAUUUACUGAGACUACUAGUAUGGUUUGAGCCACUAACCGUUGAUGAUCAAUGUAUGAAAAUGUGACGAUGUUAGAUCGUGACACAUGGAAGAACACAGCUGGAAGAAUUAGUGGCGAAAUACAGAGGAUAUAACUCUCUUCUGUCUUUCGUCUUUUGAGGAACAAGAGAAAGCGAGAGAGAGAGUCUUAUCUCACCCAUGCCACUACUACCAUUGAGAGCUGGGCCCUGACCGAGUCUUUGACUCCUAAAUCUUUUCAAUAUUUUUAACUUCGCCCAGGUAACUGACAAACUACAUUUUAUUUAAAUGUCGAUUUUUUUCCCAAGAACUUUUGUAAGUCUACAAAAGCCUGAUGUAUAUAUAUUCCCAAAAAGCAAAUUACAAUUUUCUUUAUUUUUUCUGUUACUUUGCAAAUUAACAAUGCUCAAAAAGGCAAAUUCACAUUGGAGUAACUAAAUUUUGGUACAGAAUAAUAAGCUAGCCCAAAGGAGUAUAAGUGUAAAACUUAAGAAAUUGAACGAUAAAGGUAGUAGUAAGCCUUGGUUUUGCAGACGAGCGUGCUGUGCAAAUGGGCUUGUGGGACUAAUUUUAUCGACCCCUUUAUCCGUUUCUGGCCAAUUAUUGCUAUUUUAAAUUACUAGACAAAAUAGAUUUCUUUCUUCCUUAUGUUUGACAAAGAAAGAGCAGAGGACAGAAACAACAAUUCUUGGAACAAUUUCGAAAGAAGUAACAAGUGUAAAACAAGUAAAGAUUUACACAUGAAUUUUUCUAUCAAGUAAAGAAGUAAUUCUACCUUGGUAUUAACCGUAAUGACAUUUUUCUACACAUGAAUUUUCUAUCUGCCUGCAACAAGAAAGAGGAAAUGAAAACAGUAUAGUAACCUCAACAGACAAUGCGAGUACCCAUGUAAGACGGACCUGAUGUAAGAAGGACUUAAGACAUAUAAUAAGAAGAUGGCUCAGCUGCUGUGCGGAUGCGGCAAAUGAAUCAUGCUCUUGUUUACUAGUGGCAGUGUUGCACCAUCUUUCCUCGAUCCUAAAAGCUUCUCGCUGCAAAACAAAACUCAUAGUCAACAACUUACUAAGCUCAUUACACCUAAGUACAUUUAUAACAAUGGAGCACUUCAAUCUAUAUUUGUCGAACUCAAUCCAACUGUUGCUACCCGCUUUUCCAACCAUUAAAACAAAACCCUUUUAAUCAACACUACUUUCUCAUACCAAAUGCUUAUAGUAGACCUUUACAAUCAUUUAUAAUCAUACCAAAUGCUUCUAGUAGACACUACAAUCUUAAUCAAAUGCUUAUAGAAGAUGAUCAUAUGAUCUAAAAGACUACAAAUCAUAACGAGUAACUACGUUAGCUAAAGUCCAUAAUAAUCAACAGUGUGGCUCAGAUUAGAUUCCUGCUCAUAUACUAAAUAACAAGAAACAUCCCUAGCAUAUUCCAAAGCGAACAGAGGGGCAAAACGGUCAAUAUCUCACCUUGUAUACGGUGGCGGACAGAAGAUGAUGAAGUAAUCGGCUCCGGUGGCGCAAGUGUAAGUGCUCGUCUUAUCGUCAUAGGCGUAGCUGUAUGCUCGUGGGCACGCAUGCUUAAAGAAGAGCGAGUAAACCGAAGGCUGACACGUGUCCGGCGUGGCGUACGCAUCGCUGCAGCAAUACCUUGGGUCUCCGAAUGCCUCGCACGCGCUACGGCAAGCAACACCGUUCCCAUUCCCACGCGUCACCAGCUUUAGGUCUCUGGGACACGCGCCGUUCAAGUCCACGAGACACCCGGUGGCUCCGCAUCCUCCAAUGACGAUUUUCUUGGGCAAGAUUAGCAUCGGGAGAUUGUAACCGUCGACGAGGCUAACGUCGUAAAAAUCUAGUCCUCCUGUGCCGUUGAGAGUAAACUCGGCGAGAGUUGCUGGAGGUUUAGCUCCGGAGCCUGAACAUUCGACUUUUCCCGAGCCGCAAUCUCCGGUUAAGCAGACGAAAGAACCGGAACUCCGAUCUUGUGAACACAAGGUUCGUGCCCAGAGACGACCGGACCACGACUCUGGUAUUGCGACGGUUUUAGAUUUUCCUCUAGAGAGACGAAAGCCAGUUGUGGGGAGCGGCGCUGAGUUAGCACCAGAGAGCAAACCGGGCCAUAUCGUGUUCCGGCAACGAUUCGUGAUCUUGAACGAAAUUGGCUCAACUUCUGCCAUGUGAAACCAAUUCAAUCAAAAUCGUGUAAAGAUUGUUAAACUCGAUAGUCAAGCAAUAAAGAAGCAAGGAAUUAGACAGCGAUUAUUGACCUGAAAGAGAUGAGACAAAAGCCAGGAUCAUAAACAAGAGGAUCCGAUUCAUCAUUGCUGUUACAGGAGGAUUCGAUCGGAUUCUAAAGUUGAAUGCUUGAACGAGUAAAGCGAGCAACUUUACUUUCGAACGAUGGAAAAAGCGGCGGAAGAGAGAAUAGAAAGAGAGUGAGAGUAGUCGAUAGAGGAGAAGAGCUUCUCUGUUUCUUUGAAACAAUAAAACCGAAACCGGAUUAUUCUAGUUCCAAACUGGGUUGGUGAACCGAAAAUUAACCGGUUUUACGGUUAUCCAUUUAGCGAUGCGCACGUGGUAUUUUGGUUGUGGACCAUGAAAGUUCAAACAUGAUAAAAGUUGAUAAUUUAUAGAGAGCACUCCGAUUUCCAAGGUAACAACAACAACAACAGAUCUAAAAUCUUCCCAUAUCUGCUUUUAUUUACUUAAUCCAAUCCGAAUCGUGUGAGCUACAGUAAAAUGCCAGUGUGAUCAUGAUGAAACGGUGGAAAGAAGUUGAGAAGAUUACAUUUUCUGAAGAUAUACAAAAGAUUGAAAAUACAAACGACAUCGAAGAUAAAAAGUCUAAUAAUGAGAAUGAUGGAGACUGCAAUUAGUAUUCAAUUCCUUCCAGUCCAUGGAACUUAAAUGCCAUUAAAUGCAAAACAUGAGCAGAUAGAUUUUGUAUCUAUGGGAAUCGUUACAUAAUCCAUAAAUAAUUCAACCAUAAAACGAUGAUCUCUCAAGAUUUAAGUAUCCAGAUCUUACGAUUCAUUCAGAUGACUGAAACAAAACCCAGAAUAUUUGUUCGCAUAUUAUGAACACUUGAAACAGAGCAACAAGUAGAGCAUUUCACCCAUAUCACAAGUACCAUAAAUAAAACCAACCAUAAGUAGCAAAACCAAAAGAAGAGUCCUAAUCCGAAACCAUCAAGAAAAAACCAACUAACAAAGAUAGAGAUCCAUCAUAAUAAGCAAAAAGUGGAUAAUAGAGAGAUAGAAGGCGGCGGGAGAAAGAACCGAUCACUUGUGAGAUAACCAACUCACUCUUCUCCACCGCGUAACCGGCGUUGGUUUUAACGUCCACCGCUGGUGCAAUCCCUGGCGAAAUGUCCCGACUCGCCACAGCUGUAGCAGCUUCCCCCGCCGCCACCACCUCCACGGCCACCACCUCCGUAACCACCACCUCCUCCGCCGUAUCCGCCUCCACCUCCGUAGCCACCGCCGCCUCCUCCGUAACCUCCACCGCCUUCAGAACAGUCUCUCGCCAUGUGACCGGGCUCACCACACUUGUAGCAGUCGCUGCCUCCUCGACCACCACCUCCUCUUCCUCCGUAUCCACCACCGCCACCGCCGUAUCCACCUCCAGAUCCGCGUCCACCUCCUCUUCCUCCACCGAAACCGCCGCGUCCGCCAGAUGAACCACCACCGCUGUUUCCUUGGACGGGAGCGCCGUCGGGUCCAGAAACAUCGAUGGCCUUGGGACGGUUGUUGUUGUCGAUCUCAACCUCGAACUCUACGGCUUCUUCGGCAGCGAGGCUACGGAAACCCUCAGAUCUGAUGGAGGACUGGUGAACGAAGAGAUCGUCGCCACCGUCGUCAGGAGUGAUGAAGCCGAAACCCUUCUGGGUAUCAAACCACUUGACGGAGCCUUUGCGCCUCUCACCACCGCCGUUGUCUCCGCUCAUUUUGAUUGGAAUCUCUUAAUAACUCACUUUUUUCUCUAAAUCUUUAAAAAAAACGAAACCCUAGAAAAUACUCUGAAAUCUCUCUCUCCUCGCAGCUGCUGUUUAUAUGCGUAUAGGAAGGGUGUGGCAAGGGUAUGACUGCCACGUCACCCACCCCAAUUCAUUUUUUCCUUGUUUCCAAGAGGAAAUAAAAUAAAUGUUUUUAUUUAGAUCUCUAUUUCUAUAUAUGUUUGUUCGAUUUUUGUCUAUUUUUCUAAAUUGCCUUCAAAAAAAACAUCUGCACAUUCCGAAUUGUAUAUUCGAGCGUGAUAUUAAAAUAAAAAAUCUCGCGAUUAAGAUACCCAGAAAAUUAAAAAAACAUAAAUUUCGUUGAUUUCGAAAAUGAAUCUGCAACUAAAAUAUUAAAAGAAAGAAAAGUAAGUUAAAAAAGAAAAGAGGAGUUAGAAAAUGGGCCAGCAUGUGAUAAGGCUUAAAUUGAUUAAUCCAUUUCGGGAAAGAGAAUGGAUCAUUGGCCCAGCAAGCAGUUGCAUCUGGACGGUUGGGGUGUUUUUCACGAGGGAUAUCAGCCGUCAGAUUCUGAUUUUAGAUCUGAAAAGCUAGCUCUCUGGGGAAUAGAGAAACAAAGAUCAAUUAAUUUAUUUUUAUUUUUUUACUUUGUAUGUUGUAUUUUAUUUUUUGUUGCAGUCAACAACAACAUUAAAGAAUGACAUGCAACGUCAGCAACUGGUCAAUAUACUCUUUUCAAAAUUUUCUCAAUCUUGUGGUCAAAAUAAGCAUUAACUGUUGUUCCACUUUCCACGUACAUUUUAUGAGGCAGAUUCACAAAUUUUACCAAACAGUAUGAUAAUUGUAUGAAGUAAUUUGAGAAGACUAUUGACCGCAAAGAGAUUGUCCUUUGUUGGAUAUCGAUUUUUGAGUAUCGAUUACAAAACUAAAUUACCAAGUAAUUAAUUUAUAAGAGAAAUAGAAAAUGAGUAAAAUUUAAAAAUUAUUGAGAGAUAGAAAAUAGAUCCCUUUAAAUUUAGCUUAUAAUUCGAAAAAUGUGCAUGUUUUUAUCUUAAUCACUUACCGUGAGAAAGUAUAGGAGUAAAAUGAUGUUAUCGUAAAGUGCCAAACAACAAAUCAAACUUGUGCUUAGCAAAAAAAAAAAAAAAAAAAAAACUGGUAUCAUUUGAGAACAUGACUUAAAACGCAGCCGUUUAAAUAAAAAAAGUUGGUUUCUCUGCAUCCCAUGUCUAGAGUCUAGAAGAGUGGUCUCGCUGCCGAUCUCAGCAGGGAGAAUAAUUUGGCUCGGCUCAAUCACUCUUGUGGAUCAAAUGCUCUUCUUCUUCUUCUUUUGUGUUUCAAGUCUUGAGAAGAAAUCUAAUCUCAAAUUAUUAGGAUUUUGCACCAUGUUUCCAUCAUCUCAGUUUAUAGAUAUAAUCAAAUAAUGAAAUUAUAGAGAUGCAUUGUGUCAUUAGCUACUGAUAUGAAUUCUAGCAUAACUGAUUCUAUUAUCUUUUUGUUCUUGAAGAUCACAGUAGUGUGUAAUAAAAAGGGGCAUUGCUGCAGAAAUAUAGUCAUCUCUCAGGUUAGCAGCUCUCUUUCACUUGUUAAAACUAGAUUUUACCAUCAACUGUAUACUUCUUCCUUCUGUUUUGCCUGUCUAUCAACUACAACAUCUGCAAAAGUAUCAGAAAUUAAUAGUAAUGAAGAGUUUGGAUAUCUCGCAAUUGUAUCAGGAUUCAAAUAAGUUGUAAUGAAUUGGAAUAUACACUCGUAAAUCACACACACAUACAAAUACACACUCACAUGUUCUCUUAUACACAAGCAACCCUAAAACACAUCAACCAUGUUCUGAUUCUUUUCCUUCAAAAUAGAUACACAAAGUCUGUCUCCACACGCUCAUUCCUCAGGCCUUACCUUCAGCUCUCGCAAAGGUGAGCCCAACGCAAGCAUCAACAAAUUCAUUAUCUAUGAAAUCAGUUGAGAAUAUCUGCAGUUUAUCAGCACAUCCUCUUUUUACACACUCUAUGAUGAAUACCUUGGCGUAGCAAUGUAUCCUCUUAGUCACCGGUUUUACACACAUUAUUGGGUUAUCGGGCUGCGGCGUCACUGUGUUCUCCACCCGGUAAAAGAAUUUCCUUGAAGUAGCUGGUUGCUGCUGGCUCAAAUGCUUGAUGUUGCUCUCGAAUUUGGUCGAUGGAAGAUCUGUAUCGAUCCAAUUGUCUUUAAGGUAACCAGCGCUCCAAAGAGGAUCACCAUGCUUAGGCUGAGGCGAUUUCCUCGGUUUCCAAACGCAGAUCACUCUCUUGGGAAGCAGCUCAGCGACUGUCUUGGAGAACACGUGAUCGUCCUGGUGAAUCAGAUGCUCUCCAAGCUGUUCCACAAGAUACUUAUCAAACUCCGGUGGGUCUUCGUGUCCAAACUCUGUUCUGAUCUCAAGAAUGACAAUCUCCGACUCUGUUUCGGAUAGAAACCGUUUGAGAUCGGCCAAGACAACGUCGACACUAUAAGUCUUGAGGAUACCGUGGCAUACACGGCGAUCUUCUUGGACACGAAUGUCAAGGACUCGAGUACCCGCCACGAGCUGGUUAUAGAUGGAGAGAGAUUGGCACUUAGCAAAGGGACGAGACACGAAUCGGAUACCGAUUUUGUUGGUGGCAGAGUCGUGCGUCCCAGGCCAGACGAUCUUGUUGAUGUGAAGCUUUUCAGGUCCAACGCCGGCCAUCCAGUUUUUACGAUCGGAAGGCAUGUAAUCACACCCCGGAAACUCGCAGCCGCACGAUUUCUCGAGAUCGGUGAGGGCUUUCUUCUCCGUGGAGAUGGCUUUUCGCCGCUCGAGUUGUUUGGAAAGGUGAGAGCCCAUUGCUGAGGAUUAACCCUUUCCCUUUGCUCUCUCUUCUCUGAUCACUAUAUUGAAUUCUGUUCUCUCUUGUUUAUAAAAUGUUCCAUGCCUUCUUUAUCAAUAAACCUUUACUCAUAAGUCGUUAUGAUUGUUUUUUAUUUACUUAUUAUUGGUUUGAAGAAGUUACGAAUUAUACGUUAAUCUUUUAAUAAUUACGCUACUUUCUCAAAACACCGUUGACAUAUUCGCAAAUUAGAAGUAACUUUCAACUUUUAACUUAACAAAAACCAUAGAAAAAAAGUAGUAGCGUUUAAUAUGUAAGAUUAACUGUUACAAUUUUUAUUGUGGGAACAUUUUAGUGUUAUAAAUGUGAACUGAUUGAUUAGUUGAGAUAUAUUGAAAGAGUGGUUGAGUUGUAAUUGAUGGGAGAGUGGGUUUACAAUGUAUGGUAGGUCCAUUUUUGUUGUAUAGCUGUCUUCACUGUUUGUUAUUUGUCAAUUUCUAAUGCCUGGCUAUUUUCCGACGUGAAAGAUAUCAAUACAACGUGAUUUUUAUUUCUUGGAAGACACAUAUUCAAAUUUUCUAUGAAAUAAAAGUCGUUCCUAAAAUUUAAACAAGGCAUCGAUAAUUAAUAUUUUGGAUAAAAUUCGGAUAGGAUCCGAUGGAAAACCAAUCAUAUACACUCACAGGCCCUAUCAUGUCUUUUGUAAGACUAUCUCAAAUAUCACGAUCCACACAACUAAGAUAUGUAAAAGAGAUUACUAGUAUAGAUUUUGGGAAUUGAGAAGAAAGAUUGCAACAUAAUUAAUCAAUUUUGAUCUCUUGAUCAUGCAAAAUUCAGUUUUGAUCUGAAUAAUUGAUUUAGUUGGCCUUUUUAUUGUUUUAAUCGGAACAUAUGAAUCGGUUAAUAAUGAUAAACAGUAGCAUCAUAUCGGAGAACAGCAUCACCAGUCUUCAUGUCAAUCUUAUUUGUUUUUACUUUGACAAAACCUCUCGCCAUUCUGAAUUUCCCACGGCCACCAACAAUCGCGAUUUCUCGCUCUCCGACCUCUUCCGCCACCGGAUUCCUCGAGAAGAUACUGAUCGAGCUUCCAUUAAACUUCCCUGCCGUGAAAGCCAAAUCAGCGUACAUGACGAUCGUGAAUUUGCUCAAGUCUUUGCACCCGGAGACAUACAUCCCUUGACCAUUCCCGAUCUCUUUCGAGUGUUUCUCCGGCCCGACGGUGAGCGGAUCGUCUAUCACAAACAGGCUUCCAAAACCUACCGGCGAAGCUGAGCCACCGGUUAGAUUUGCAUGUGCGAUUCUAACGGCGGUAGGAUUUUGGCCACUGAGAGUAUCAUGGAGAUAAAAUCUGACACGUGUCACUUUCUCCUCAUUCAGUUUAGCCGGUUUGGUGUUGCCAUAGUAGGAUUCGUGACGCGCCAUAACGGCCAUGCUCAAACAGAGUGUGAAAAAUAUUAUUAAUGUGCUCUUCAUAAUUUAUAAACUUAAGGAAUUGAUAUGAAAGUUUACUAUCCAAAUGAAUCUAGAACAUAUAUAUAUAUAUAUAGUUUGAUCACUUGUAAUUUUAGGAAUGUUUACAGGAAAAAGAUUUUCUCCUAUAAAAAGAGGGUAUAUGUCAUUAUUUAGAAAAUCUAUUUGAUAUUUUUCUAUAUAACAAAAAGAAAAUAGUAAAUGCAUAUGAUCCAGGUAUUAACUUUGAAAAUUUUCUGUCUGAUAUUGAUGAUAUGUUCAAAAUUGUAAUAGUGUUUGACAACUUUGAAAACAUGUAAAGAGAUUUAAUUAUUUUAGAAAAUUAUGAUUCUAAAAAGCUUUGAGAUUCUGCCAAAUAACUAGCAUAAACUUUAUUCGAGGUAAGGAUAUGUACCACGCGCACCUUAGGAGCGUUGAGCGCGUGUUAUCAAAAUGGGUAAGCUAUAUAGUCCAGCCAAAAUGCCUAUUUUUGAUCAAUUUUAAUAUAUUCCCAGCUCUAAAGCGCGUGGUAUUAUCAUAUUCCCCGUCCCACUACAUUCUGUGUGUUUGUACAGGUUGGAUUUAUUCCUCACCACAUAUAUCUUAAGUGGACUGCACCGAUCAAGAAGAUUAUAGAAUACGGGCCAGAUCUGAUACUGGGUCGGGUUAAGUUGGGCCAAUUGGGCUCUUAAUAACAAACAUCACUCUCUCUACGCACCAUUGAUCACUGAUCAACUAAACGCUCCCAAAUUCAAAGACAGAUUUAAACCAAUAAUGAAAUUGUACAACUCGUAAAAAAUAAAAGACACCCCAAAACCCUAAAAAUUGCAACAGAGUAUGUGGUAAAAAAAAGAGACAGAGAGAUAUUAUAAAAAAAAAGACCCUACCAAAAUUUUCUCUAGAGUUCCCCCACACAACUUAACUUAUCCAAAUUAAACAACACAAAUUCUCAGAAGCUAAACUUCAAGAACCCAAACUAUCACAAUCCACAAAAAUGCCUUUUGACUCUUUAGAUUUUGUCCUCCGUCUCUUCCUUCUUUGCCUCUUCUACAGCCGGUUCGCCACCAGUCUCUUCCUUCUUAGCCUCUUCUACAGCCUGUUCACCCUCAGUUUCUUCCUUCUUAGCCUCUUCUACAGCCGGUUUGUCCUCAGUCUCUUCCUUCUUUGCCCCUUCUACAGCUGGUUCCUCCUCUUGAGCAUCCUCCUCAGAAUGCUCCGUGCUUCAAUGUUCAAAGACAAAAUAAUUUAAGAGUAAGAAACAUGCUUACAAAAUUUACAACUUCCCACAAUACUCAACAACACUAACUAAAAAACCCAUUACCAUCACGCAGAAAGAGAAAAACAGAGCUCUCUAAACAUGGGAUGCCAGAUCAAAAAAACAAAACAGAAAGAGAGAUCCAAUCUUUCAGCUUCACUUCAAGACAUCAACUUCCAUGUAUGAAUGUAGAGAAAAACUAAUAACACCAAAUUUAACAUAUUAACUACUAUACUAAUGCAGUGAUCCAUAACACAUGAAUGAUCAUCCAAAAUCUCACUGUUUAUAGCAUAUAUAUGAAUCCCUAUCUCCCACAAUAUACACAAUUUCUUAGACCCAUGUCAAUAAUUUCCACAGACAGUAAGAGAUCAAUACUUUGCCCGACUAAGAUGGUAUAAUCAGAAAACAAGCAGGCAAACUAAAGAAACGAAUCAACCAAGUUUUAUUAUAGUCAAAGAAGAUAUAUACCUUUUCCUCCAACUUCUUUCAAUACGUUCCUCGUCUUUACGGCCAUUGCCAAGACCAAAGCCCAUCUUCCCUGUAGAUUUCUCAUUAGGCUUCUCCAUGGCUGCAGCAAUGUCCUUAAGCUUUUCAGCCUCGAGCUUCUCGUCAAUCUCUUUCCAAUCCUGGCCUUUCUCAGCCAGAACUUCCUCUCUAGGUCUUGCGUUCCCAAAAGGAUUAGCACCUUUAGGUUUCUCCACAAUGACCAAGACCGGACUCUCCGGCUUCACGACCUCCACAACGGCCACGGGAAGUGUACGUGGCUGUAACACCAAUCUUGGGCGUGAACCACCGCUCGGUGGUGGCGAGCCAUUAGCAGCACCGCUUUCUUCUCUUCUUCUUCCCCAGGUAUCCGAUUCAGAACCACCACCACCACCGUAUUGAGAAUCCCGGUUUCUAGACAAGGAUUCAAAACUUCCCCUUUUCUCAAAUCUGUCACCGCCGCCGCCGUUGCUAGAAACGAAUCUCCGGGGCUCCGAUGGCUUAGUGGAGACCCAGCUAUCGACUUCAUCAGCCUUGGACUGAGACUGAGAUUCGAAGAAUCCUCCGCCGCUGCCUCUCUCUCUUCUCUCGAAUCCGUUUCCGCUAAUUGGUUUCUUGGCGGCGGCCCAGUUAUCAUCCUCAUCCGCACGCGACGGACCCGAAUCCCUGCUAGGUUCCCUAUCCCGGUUGAAUCCACCGCCUCUCCUUUCCCCAUCCUCCGAAACCCUAGACGAACCCCACCUCGAGCUGGACGACUCAUCUCCAUAACGACCACCACCAUAGCUCCGGAAACCACCUCCAAGCUUAGAUCUAUCAAGCUCCUCAGCAGAGCGUUCACGUGGACCGGUCGGAAGAGCGACCAGCUCAGCCUGAGUGAGACGCUCCGUCUGUGGAGCCGGCUUUGCCUUAGCAGUACCGUAGGUAGCGAAUUCAGCAAGAGAGAUGGUUUGGCCCUUCUUCUUCUUCGUUUUGGUGGUCGCUGCAGCGGCUAAGGAAGGGAAAUCGGAGGAAUCUUCGGCAGAGGAUUUCUGGUUGGUGGGAGAGGGUUGUUGUUUGAGCUCAGCUUCAUGUUCCUCGGCUUCAAGAGCCCAAGCACCAGGCUUUGCCCAAACAGAUGAUACAGCAGCCGCCAUGAUUGGAUUCUUCUUCUCUUCUUCUCUUCUUCUGCUUCUUCUUCUUCUUCUUCUCUUCUCUUCGUGUGAAUCAAAAACAAUGAAUGGCUCACCGAAUCUCGAUUUCCUUUUUAUAGUUAGAUCUUUUUGGGUUUUGAUCGGACGGUUAUGAAUUCAUCAUAUCAAUAGGGUUUUAUUAUUUAGUAUAUUUUCCAUUCCUUCACCUACAAGGAGAAGGAAACAGUGUUGUUGGAUCAAAAUAAUAAUAGUCAAUGUUAUAUGAUCUAUAUAUGGUAACAAAUCUGUCCUAAGAGCUCAAAAAGAAAUGAAUAUGAACAAACAGUGGACAAAUUUGUAUACAAAAGACUGUUACAAAACUAUCAAGUAUAUACAGAAAGCUAGUUUACAUUCUUUUCCCCACUAAGAGAUUAAUUAGAUGAUCUUCUGAUUCGGAUCCCAACAUCCUUCCGUUCAGCACAAGGUUUAAAUCUUUGUUACCUUCCUAAUAUUCAGGACUGUACAAACUUGUCAAAUGUUCUUCGUCAAAGCUCUUCCCUGAAUCCUGCCAUCUCAUUCGUCGUGGCGAAGCUUGUUCCUCUUCUCUCGUGGAAUGGAGUAUAACCGUUCCUGUAAGCACUGUGAUGAAUCCACAAAUCUCAGAGGCUAUGCUGUCUGUGUUUUGCCCAUUCCAGUCCUGUUAAGAAAAAGGUGAUUCAUUUGACAAUCUUGAAACACGAGGAUCAUUACUCUUUAAUGUUUGUUGAAAUCUCUCUACCUUGAACAUGAUUGCACUAGCGACAAUUGUGAGUGUUGUGAACAUCACAUAAUAGAUUGGAGAAACAAUUGCUGCGUUGAAUGUGUCCAGCGCCUGACAAAACAAAACAUAUGACUACUAUUAACCAUUGGCCAAAGUGUGCUCAACACUACAUCACACAGACACAUGCACAGGUUCUUCUUACCUUGUUGAGGUAAAUCAUUUGCAUAACAACACAGAUUGCUGCAACCAUGGCAAAAAACCAAGUCUCUGGAUACCAGAUCUGGUUUAUCCCUUCAAAUGUUAACUUUAUGGCAAUCCCUACAGCCUUGAUGCUCAUAACCUAUUUGAAAUUAAAACCUUUAGAGAACAAAAAAUGGGAAAAGAUAUAGAGCUCAGCACUAAAUUCCGAGAUGCUUACUGUGAGAGAACCCAUCAAUGAACAAAUUCCGAUAUACACAAGAAUGUUGGUUUGGCCGCAGAGAGGUUCACAGUAGAGAAUCAAAGCAAGGACUAUCGACAUUGAUAUGGCUACGUAAAUUAGAAAAGCUGUCUCACACAAAAAAGAGAAGGGAUAUACGUUAUUGUCUAUAUCAGUAACAUAAACACAGAGAGAGAGAGAGGUAGAAAAAGCAAAACCUGGUUGCAUUGCUAGUUUCCAGAUUUCUUCUACAGAAUUGGGAGUCUGCUCCUGAGGUGCGUGUAUGACGAUCAUAACUGAGCCCACAAUGCAACAAACACAUCCCCAAACUCCCAUUUUCCUAAGUUUUUCGUCUAACAAGAAAUGUGCCAAAACAGCACUAGGAGGGAGCAAUCAGGGCAAAAGAUGAAAAGGUUAGUCAGAGAAAAGGUGAAAUACCACUCAAAAAGAUGCCAAUACAGUACAAACCUGAUGAUUAUACUUAAUGCGCCAAGAGGAGUGACUAGUACAGCAGGUGCAUAAACGUAAGCCACAAAGUUAGCAAUUUCUCCAAAAGUCACUGAGUUACAAAAUCUCACAUUUAGAACGAUGGUUUUUAAGAUGGGAAGAGUCAUAUGGAAAAUAAAAGAUGGUUUUUUUGAACUCACUUGUUACCAAGCCUACCCACCAAAGUGGCUCUAACAAAUAUGUAUAACCUCCGAAACCUGCACCAUUCAUCAAGCAAGUCAUACUCCCAUUUCUUGACAUGCAAAUAUUCUCAAACAAAUGAUAGCAGAAAGGCACAGAACCAAAAGGUGAAACAAAACAUAGUGGAUAAGAAAUCUAUUGCUGAUGGAUCAUCUGCUAUUAAGAAAAUGUGUCAACAUGGAUUCAUUUCAAUGUCUAUAGAAAAUGAAUUCUUCCAAUUCAGACAGCUAAACCCUGAUCGAGCAGAUGGGUUGUUCAAUAUCUAUCUAAUAAUUAAAGCAGAAAGUAAAUUUAGGAGCAUGGAAUUGGAUUCUAAAAAAAAAGCAAGCGGGGAAACGAACCAGCGCGGGUGCCAUUAGCAGCAGCGCGCUUGAGACCUUUCUUCUUCAAAAUGAAGCUGGAACCUAUGAAGACGCUCGACGACACAGCUAAUACCAGACCCAUCUCAUUGUCCGACACCAUCGUUUCCUUUGCUAUCUUGGUUUGCAGCAAACAAGGUGUUAAAUCAAACAGAGGCCCCAAAAGAAGCCCUGAAUCGUAUCCCAAAAGGCAAUUAAUCGUUUGGUAGAAGAAAUCUGAUUGUUUUUGAUAUUGAUGAUCACAAAAUCCCCGCUACGGAAACAGGAAGAAGGAAUGAGAAUCGCAGGAUUUUUGGAGUCGUGGUGAAAUAAUUCAAAUGGGGGGAGAGAGAGAGAGAGAAAGAGAAAGCCCCCAUUCCUCCUCUCCAGAGACGACAGCUCAUGAGAGAUUUCGUCGUCUUUUGUCGGAAACUAUUAAAAUAUAAUAUAAAUCUGCUGCUUCGCGGACCACCUUCUUAUAUUAGCCAGUAGCCAUCCGUCCGCUUCUUCAUUUCUGUUGUUAAUCAAAUCUUUAAUCCUUGUUUAUUUAUAGUUGUAAGAUGAGUUUUUUAUAUUCUACGAAAACUGAGUACACAAACGUGAAAUCUUCCAAAAAAUGAAAUUUGUGUUAGCAAGCAAAUAAAUCACAGCAGCUAUACUAUUUUCAUUUUUGGCUUUCACACGUAUUGGCUUCCCUCACAAUUAUUUUAUUCUGAAAUCGUAAUUAAAGGCAUAUGCGUCCCUGCUGGCUGCAUAUAAAUAUGAGAUUCAGUCUUCUCUGAAACAUUUAUUUGAUUUGGUAAUUGGUAUGUCAUCAAUCAUUCAUCACAGUCUCCAGAAAAAUCGUGUGGAUUUUAAAACUGGUUUGGGGCCUGAUUUGAUGGGCCGGCCUUCAGGUGGAAAAUUUUCGUUUUCAUAUAAUAGUGAGUACGAAGGCAAUUAUAUUUGAAGGCCCACUAAAGUUGAUCUUAUCGACAAACCCGUGAUUUAAACAAAAAAAUAGGCCCACUGGUAUUGUUUAUUAUUAUUGCCAUUAAUUGGGUUUUCUAAUUUGCUUCUCUGCAGAAUCACGUGUGUUACUUUUUUAGACCAAGACCUUGUGGUGGUGUAGCCCCUCUGCGUCAACGUGGAUCAUAACGUCGUCCACCAUUAAUUAGAUAGGUGAACAAAAACUCGACCAAGUAUUUUUAUCUGUUCCAACGGAAAUGCAGAUAACAAAGAUGAAAUUUGGUAACGUAAAUUAGAUAUGAUAAAAGAGUGCUCAUUCCUUAUUUCUGGUAGUUAAUAUUAAAGGGGCAAGUUUAUAUAUGUUCCCAUGAGAACACACACCAAACUUAUGACUACAAAUUUUAAAAAGACUCCAUAACAAAAGCAAAAGCAUAAAGAGACACCACAAUGACGACGAUGAUGCUAAAUUAAGGAUGAUGAUAGGAAGAUCCUAAGAGAGCUGACCACAAUCGGCAACAACCACAGGCUUCGUCGGCUUUCCAGAUGAUGAUCCAACCUUCUCGAUGGCCUUUACCACGUCUAAGCCUUCCACGACCUGCCCAAACACCACGUGCUUCCCAUCAAGCCAAUCGGUCUUCACGGUGCAGAUGAAGAACUGAGAUCCGUUCGUGUUUGCACCGGCGUUCGCCAUCGACAGGAUCCCCGGUCCGGUGUGCUUCCUCUCGAAAUUCUCGUCCUCGAACUUGCUCCCGUAGAUCGACUCACCGCCUGUUCCGUUCCCGGCGGUGAAAUCUCCUCCCUGGCACAUGAAGUUAGGGAUCACACGGUGAAACUUAGAUCCCUUGAAGUGAAGGGGUUUUCCGGUACCGCCAACACCUUUCUCUCCGGUGCAGAGAGCUCUGAAAUUCUCGGCAGUCCUGGGAGUCUUAUCGGUGUACAGCUCCAUCACGAUCCUUCCCGCGGGCUGGCCGUCGAUGGUCAUGUCGAAGUAUACCUUAGGGAACGCCAUUCUUGUUGUUUGAAACGUGAGAUCUCUAUCAGACUGAAGAAGAGGUUUGUUGUGGAUGAUGAAUAGAGGAUUUAUCGGUGAGGUUAUCGAUUUAUAGCCGGCCAAGGGGAAGCGGCGAAUAUCUCACAGAUAAACAAGAUUAUUACAUGUGGGAAAAUCUCAACGGCUUUAAGAUCUUAACCGUGGUUAGGUUAAGAGUUUGACCACCGGUUAAGUAGGGGUCAGUCAGUCAGUGCGUUGGAGUAUCUCAGACUUGGCAUAUGCCCCUCCUGGAGCAACGUGCCACACGUGUCCCACAAUUUCUAAACAACUUGCUAAAAACAACGUCUUUUAAUCUUAAAAAUUAAUUUUAUUUACUGUCAGUUCAAAUUCAAAAAAAUUGAACCGUUAAACUUUAGUAGUAACGCAUACUAUAUGCAUGACUUUCAAUUAACACUAUCAAUGCUUUGCGCAAUAGUCCACCCCUCAUAAAUGUUAGCUGUAAUGAGUGGUUUUCUUUUUAGGGUUAAAUUUUUCCUCAUAGUAAGUAAACGUGUUCAAGAGUAGAGGGAAUUCAAAAAUCAGAAUAAUCUAGAAUAAGUGAUUAUCAAAAGUUAGUUGAGUGAGAAUUAUUCGGAACUGCACUUUCUGCGGCCUAGAGUCAGAGAGAGAACCAAUCAAAAGAAUUUGUUGAGAGGUAAGCAAUUUAAAAAAAUGAAAGCAACGAGCGGCCCAAAAGGAGUGGACAGCAUGAGCCGAACAUUUUUUUAAAGCUAUGAUAUGAAAUAAAGAGAAUAAUACUAUUAUAUGACUAACAUAUACCAAUGGUACAAUAGCCGGUUUAAUCACUCAUCAAGGAAGGAAUCUAAUACAUACGUACCACAUUCAAGCAUGGUCCUCAUGUUUGUUUUGUUUCUAAAGUGAUCCAGGAUACAGAAACGCAGCUAUUUUCUUCAGUGAAUCUAUGGACGGUUCUAAGUAGGUAUGCACCUCAGCAGCUGAUCGAGACAAAACAAAAGAAGCAGCAAUGUUACGAAACCGUUUUCACUUUUUCCUUGCAACUAAAUCGUAUUUUAAAAAAGGCACCAAAUCCCAAAAUAGUCUUGUCAAUAUUACUAUGGAAGAAACACUUGUUACCUUUCACUAGUUUUUUCAAGUCUUUGGAGAAGUUAUCCACACGCCCAAAUACAGGAUGGAUCCUGCAAACCUGAACUACACAGAGUUCCAAGUAUAACGACAUCUCUGUCGUUUGGAUCAGCAUAAGGCACAACUUCUUUACUUCAUCUGGAAUCUCUUUGGAUUUGUAAUUAUCACAUAGCUCAGCGACUAUCGCCGUCGCUUGGUCCUGCAUUUUAAUAUACACAUUGUAGUACCAAGCAAAGAGAGGAUGAUUAAAAAAAAAAAAAAAAAAAAAAAAAAAAAUAGAAACCAGUAACCGUUCUUGGUCUCGAAUUAACGUACCUGUAGACCAUGUAAAAUCUCCGGCUCUGGAAGCUCAGGGAAAUGAGCAAUAUCGACAUAUCCCACUUCCUCUGCCCUCGUAACAACACCCUCUGCUUGUAAGCACAGAAAUUUCAACAAUAGAGAAGCCACUCUAUAUAUCUGUAUCGCAACUGAGUCUGAAAAUUGCGAUUGAGGAACAGACCCAGGAUGUUCUGUUGUGUCUCCCCUAACAACUAGAGCAGUCGAGAUAGAUACUGCAGUGAUCUUGGGUUUCCCAACACAAACUAAAGGUGCUAGCGAAAACCAUCCGUGUUUGGUAUUGAUGAAAGACGGUCUUUUGCAGGAAUCAAACUCUUCUUUCGCUACUGGAGGGCAUAACAGAUGAGAUAUGUGGCUCUGAGACUCUCUAAGCCGUUGAGCGCCUUUGCUGAUAAAGGCCAAGAGAUGUAUUGUCAUUUCUCUUAAUGGAGAAUCCAUAUCCUUCAUAAUUUUAACCCAUGAUCUCCAAUGGCUAGCUAAUGCACACAGCAGAAGGAGAGUAUGCUCGGUUACUCUCAGAUAAGCAAGGGAAGUCCACGUCCGUUGACUUCGUAGCCUCACUUUGUCACGAUCAUCAGAAGGGAAAUCUGGUGCAGCGAGAUAGUAUGAGAUCAUGUAACCUUUCUCCAAGAAAAAGUAAGAUAUGACACUCUCCACAAUAUCAGCCCCUGCAGAAACAGAUCCUAGAGAAUGAACCAUGGCAGUAACCACAGCCAAACCGAUUCCCCAGAUAUGCUGAGUUUUUUCUGUCUUUUCUAGCAGCGAGCCCUUUUCAUUGUCAGAUACCAAAGUAGACAUUCCAUCCGGAAACUCCAUUAACAAAGCUCUUAAAGUCGAGAAAAAUCCAGAAUUUAGAAGCAUCUGAGCACCGCCAUGAACUUGAGCAAUAGUUAAGAAAAAUUUUAGUAUUGCUGAAACGGAUGUUGUGGAUUUCUUAUCCUGAAGCUGUAGAAUAACAUGCUGCAAGCGGAGUUGACUCUGUAUAAUAGGGAACCAUGUCUCUGGCGUCAAAAAAUUCCUGAGAAUCAAGUCUACUGUGGUCAGGCAGAGAGUCAAGUACUCGGGAUUCCCCAUGAAGUUGCAGAGAAGGGGUAAUAAUCCAAUUGUAGCAUCAGAUAUUUCUGCAAAAUCUUUGGCUAGCACCAUAUGUCCCAUCCCACUCGAGUUUGAGUUGUCUGAACCAAAACCCACAACCAGGAGCAGCACCUCAAGCAGGAGGUUUAUCGUCUUCUUCAAUAUAGCAUUUGAAUGCCUCAAACUACCAAGGAUCUUGAGGCCAGGCCCAACAUUUCUCAGGACAAGUGCACAUACAGAUAAUGAAAGAUUUUUCUUUGCGGAUUUCAAUAGGCGGGAUAGCAAGUCUGCCUGUGCUGUAAGAAUAUCAAACACAAUCUUGGGUGCAUCCCAGAGAGAGGCAAGUGAAUCAACCGUGGUGCAAAAUUUUCGGCAUACUUUAUCAAUGCUUAAAAGAGUGACUCGAGAAGGGAUUUUCCUUUCCGCAGCUGCACUUUCUUCAAGAGACUGCACAUAAGGUGUAGCAUUUAGAUGUACCGAAAUCUUAAAUUAAGAUCCCAAAAGUGGGACAUACAACAUUUCUACCGUCUAUAUUGGAGUACAUAGGCCAGUUUAGAUUAAUUCUAUUUGUUCGGUUUAGUAUUGGUUAGAUCUUAUACCACACUUGUAUAUAACAGAGUAAUUGUACAGUGUAAUCAUUAGAACUUUCUCAUUCAUCUUAAUGAUUACACUGUACAAUUACUCUGUUAUAUACAAGUGUGGUAUAAGAUCUAACCAAUACUAAACCGAACAAAUAGAAUUAAUCUAAACCGGCCUAUGUACUCCAAUAGUCUAGUAUGUUUGAGUCAGCUAUUAGCUAAAACGUUAAAUGAGGAAAAACAAUCUAGCCCAUAAAUGUAUUAUGAUGGGAUAAACUCAGAAAAGCUAAUUAAAACAGAGAAACUUACAUUAUCCUCAUAAAGUAUCAAGACGGAAAUCAAUGCAUGCAAAACAGAGAGCUGCGAAGUUGAGAGUAAAACCAUCGAGUUUGCUCUCUGCAUGUAGUUCAACAUUUCCUCUGCCGUUGUUUUAGAUGUCUUCCACUCAGAGAAAUCCCAAAUAUCAAUACCUAAUUCAGUCUGUAUUUGCUGAGUGUCAAACAAACAGUCCCCCAAAGCCAUAUUUACAUCCUUAUUAGUUUUCUGUUUAUAUUUCUCCCAAAAGCUCGUCUCCACUAGAAACUGGAAAAGCUCUUUGAAAGGACCAGUUGGGAUAUCACGACCCUCAAGUUUUCCUUGAAGAUGACAGUAUAGAUCGCUGAAAAUCAUAGGCAUCAACUCCUUUCCUCCACUAGAAAUAGAACCCAAUAGAUUGUAAGCAAAAUGUGAAACAGUGGUAAACCUUUUGAAUAACAUGAGAACGAAUAAUUAAAGAUUAAGGAGAAGCACUGCCGACUGUAGAUUUAAGAAAGAUAAAUGUGCUACUGAAUUUGAAAAUUAGCAAAGAAAUGCUGGAAAAGCAAAAAUGUAAGAAAUAAUGGUCUUACCUAUAACCAAGUUUUGAAUAUUGCGCCAACAACUCAGAAAAAGCAGGUUGAGCACAAAGCUGUCAGCAUAUUGUUAAACAAGCAACAGAUUCAGAUAUGACAAGGCCUUGAAAGGUGUAUUGAAAAGACCAAAGAUAUAGAUCGAUCCAAAAGAGAGGAACUUACAGUUUCUGAUAUGAGUUUGAUCUUCUCAACUAAAACCAUAGACAAUGCUCCUGCGCCAGAUGUUUCCAGUUUCACAAUCAAAUGCACAAUAAGUAAAACGGCAGCAACCUAUCAAUGCAGAAAAUGAGAAACAUUUAAAACUUCUAAUUACUAUUUCUGAAAUAUGGAGGCACCUAAGCAAAAGGUGUAAAGCGUGGUGAAACUCUACUGAUUGUGCUUUAUAAGUACUACAAAUGAACGCCACAUAAAUCUCAAUGAACAUAGUUCAAUAAGAAGUCCAGUUCAAAGAAAUACGUGCCUUUGCUUGGAAGUUUAUUUCACUUUCACCAUCUAAGGAAGAAACUGACUGGAUAAUGCCAUCCAAAACAGAUAUGUCACACCAUUUUGAAAAGAUAUCCUUGGGAUCUGAAUCAGCUGUCCAAGUUAAUUUGGGUGGAGAUACUCCAUUACUUGCUGUCUUUUUAGUCUCCACACAUGGCUUUUUAAGUGACUCCGCAAACAGCAACUUCUUGUACAAAAACAUGUUGCAAGCCAUAAUUUCCAAAACAGAAGCCUGACACUGAUAUUUCACUAACAAUUUCGAGAUUUCUUCCUUGCCUAAACUUCCAACCGUCGAAUCUUUUAUCUUAGAAGCCUGUGAUAUAAUGUCGGAAAAUUCCUGCCACAACUUUUUUGACGCCUUAAACGGUUCCAGCAUAUUUGCGUAUUGGCCAGCCUCUUGCCAAAGGGUUUUCAGGAAAUCAAGUAAACCCAGUAAUAUAUCUGUGUGUCUGGAAAAGAUGAAACCAUCACGUAAAUAUUACAGGCCAUCUAGAAGAUCUCAUACAGAAAUUCAGUGUAAUUAGAAGACAGAUCGAAACAAAAUUAGCCUUCGAAGUACCUAUCGACAAAAUCGGUUGCUCUCUCUACAUAUUGCAGGAUAGUGUGCAGUAAGCGAGAUUUACAAGCCCAGUCAGGAAUUGAGGAGGCAUCUUUGCGCGACUGUUUUACGUUGCUAGAAUCUGAGUCUUCGUCUGAAUCAAAUAUGGCCACUAAAAGAGCAGGCUGAAGAAAAAAGAUAAUAAUGAAACAACUUUUCAGUAUGAUGAAACUGGAGAAUCUAAAUGAUUUCAAGAAGAAAAAUUGCGUAGCACAAAAAGCAAUUUAAAUAACCCUGAAAGCCUGUGACAAGAAAAUCAAAGAAUGGGAAGCAACCUGAAAUCUUGCCGCAACAGUUAGUAGUUUCAAGGUGGCAACGACUAGAUGCUCAUUUUGUCCCGAUAGAUCAAGUACGAUCUGGGUAACCGAAUUUCUUAAAUCUGUAAUCUAAAUAGAAAACUAUCAUUGAUCCUUACAUAUAGACAGCAGAAUAUACUACAUGAACAUAAUAGAUAACGGAUAAGAAAGAUAUCAUACUAACCUGUUUAUUGUCUAGACCAAAGCCUGCAUUGCUUAUUAUAUAGAGUUGUGAUGAUUCUGCCAAGGCAAAUAACUUUGACAGCACUUGAGCAGCACAAACCUGUAUAGUCUGCAGGAAAUAUUUGAUUUUUAGACAUGUGAUUGGUCAAAGCAUCAACUUCUACGAAUUUGGAUGAAAGUCCAUACAGGAUUGCGGAAGUAAGAAAUCAGUGAUGUGAUAGCUGCAACAACUGAGAUUGGUUUUGUUGUAGAUGACAGCAUGGCUUGAUGAAACACAGGAAGACCAGAAUGUGUACUCUGCAACAACUUAUAGCAAACUAUCAAAUUCCAGAAUGCCUGGAAGGAAAUCGUGUAUGACCACCCACAUAUUUAAGUGAGAGAAAAAAGUGUUCAAAAAAUCGCUAGCCAAAGCAAUAUUCGAUGUGUGUUUGCAUUUUGUAUGCAAAAUUUAAGAGAUUAAUCAAUUAUUUUGAAAAACAAUUCAAUGGGAAAUAGUGAUCAUUGUGAUGUAUCAUGUACUUGCAAAAGCUUUCAAGAAGGUCAGAGGUAAGACAACGCUUUUACCUCAGAAAAUUGGGAGAGUAUGACGUUCAAAACAUCCAAAACAGAGACUAUAGCAAGUUGCCAUCCUUCAAUCUCUGCUGGUUCAAUAAAACGGCUCGAACAAAGGUUCUUUUACAAUGAAACAUAUCAGUAAAUCAAUUAAAGCACAUCAGACCCAUAGGAAAGUAGAAGAACUAUUCCAGUAUAUAUACAAACCUCUAAAUUUUGCGUAGUCGUACAAAUUAUUCUGAAAAGAGCACUGUGAACAGAGGCAUCGUUCAGUAAAAUAUCAAGGAGAACAUCCCUCAGCUUUGUGGAGAAUUUACUGAAUCUGAGACACGUUUUCAUCAACUCGAUGACCUGCAGGAACGGAGGAAAAGAACAAAAAAGACAUAUUAAAAAAAAGCAAGACACAUCCAACGCAUAUUUUCGAACAGAAAAAGGUAUAGCUAAUAAUUAAGACAUACUUUUAGUGUCACUUUCCAACGCAUAUUUCCAUGAUUGUAUUUCCAAUACUCAUGGCUAGCAAGAAUAUACUGCAACGAGAAAACAACUAGAGCAAAAACUACAUCAUUCUCUAGUCCCCCCUCCACAAGUUGCAUGGUAAAUUCCAGAACUGCAAGGGAUAAAACAAAUCACAUUAUACAAUAUAUAGAGAGUCAAGACAUAUCCAAGAACUGUGAGCCCACAGUUGAUUUAGAUUUCGCACUAAACAGAAUUCUGCCGCAGACUUGCCUGAUAUGACCAAUGGGCAGCUGGUAUCAUUCUUCUCGCAGUCAAUCAAGAUCAUCUUUGCAAGUUUCCCAGAGAGAGACCAAGAACCGCUUUUUAAAAAAAAAACAGCGGAAAGAGUAAAAAAAAGGUCAGAUGCAGCCAGAGAAUGCACAAAACGAUGAAGUAAAAUAAAUGAGAAUUUUAAGAAGCCUUGUUAAAGCCUUGUUACUAAAAAGAGAUAUUCCUCAAAAUAAAAGCUAAGAAAACACUAAAACAGUACUUUCGACAAUGUGCCUCAUUACAAACAAUAGAAUGGUUCCUAGUAAUUAAUAGGAUUUGUCGAUGAUCUACGAAGCAUUCUUGUGAGAGUUUGUCUUUUUGGGAGAAGCAUAUCAAGUGUUGGCAAUGUGUUAGAGAUUACUUCCUUAUGGAUAACCGAUGAUUCUAAAUAAGAAGAAAAACUAAAAUCUUCUAGGCGUGGUAAACUUCAAUGAGUAUAUUAUAUAAUUAUGGGUAGGAUAUAUUUGAAAAUGAACAAACUUAAAAAAGAGCCAACCUCAAUGAAAUAUUAUAGCCACUGUCAGGGACGUCUGAACAUGAAGUCAUGUCAAAUAUAUUUGACUUUAAGACCAUGGGAGCAACACUUGACGGGGAACUGCUCAAAGAGUAAAAUAAAAUUAGCUAUCAAUGUUCCAGAGAGAAGUGAUACCGAAUUCCAAACUAUACCAUAUAACAAGACAUUGCACAUGACAUGUAAUAUUAUGACACGCAUUUGCUAGAAAAGAAAUACUGAAGAAAAAAUUGAUAACCAAGACAGCAAAAGAAUAAGCAUUACAACAAAAAUUACCAUCGCAGUAGUUUAGCUAAGAUAUCAAUAGCCAUUGCCAUCACAGCGGCACCGCCAGAGUCAAAAGUCAGGCUUCUGACUGAAUUACAAAUUAUAUCAACCACCCUGGAACAAAAAAAUCCCUGUUCAAGUACUCCGGAAGAGAGCAUGUAAGAAAGAAAUAAAAAUGCAAAUACUUCACCUCACAUCACUUUCCAUCUUCCCAUUCACAUAAGAUUCUUGAACAUAAAAGAAGUGGCUGAUAUUCAGUAAGGAGAAACAUACGGCCUGAAAUCAAAUUACAGAACCUGGUCAGAGAAGUAAAAAUACGGAUGCAUAGCCUUCAUUCAAAUUUUGAGAACGGUCAGAGAAGAAUUGAUUCAAAGGCAGAAAAGCCAUAGACUACUUCAUGGUGUACAAAUACUAAAGCAAUCCCUACUUCAUAACCUGGAUAAAAAUGAAAAUGGAGCAAUGCAGUUACCUUGUUAAAUGUCACCAUCCGACGAAGUAGCUCCAGAGUCACAAAAGCUUCACGAUUGUUACCAAUGUAGAGUUUAUUGGCCAAACGGAUGAUCAACACAAUUAUGCCGGAUAGCGAAUACUUGGAAAGGAAAAUGUAUUUCAUGAAUCAGUAAGACCAUAAAAAAUAUAACAUUGGAGGAGUCUAUGAAUAAGGUUUUCAAAGAAUGAUGAGAUCACUUACCUCCCACCGUACAAGGACAGUAUUUUCACUGAUUACUCUCAGAAUUCGCCCACGAGUAUUACUGGGAAUAACUAAACCUUCGAGACCUGGAAUAUGCAACGGCCGGGAAGUUUCAACAAGUUGAGAGGCAUCAUCCGCUGGAGAGUCACUAGUAAUAUCAAAUAAGGUUGAUACCCCGACUGAUUUAUCCAGAAAGUUGUAUCUGCACAAAAAAAAAGAACAGCAGAUUGCAGGAGGGUGAUGGUUUGAAACCAGUAAAUAAGAAAUUCUGUACUGAGACAAGAAAAGAAGCUUAGAUUGAUGAAUGCAAAACAUUGCUCUCGUCUACAUAGAAAAGUUCCAUAUAAAAGUACAUAAACGCAGAUAGUAUAUUGUCCAGUUCAUACUUACACACAUUCAGCAGGCCAACUUCCUUCACUCAGGGACGACAAGAGGCGAAUGAAUUCAGCACUUCUGAAUGGAAAUUCACUCUCCAGAUCAAAGAGGAGACACCGGAUAGGGCCAUCAACAAAACUUUUUCGAUCCCAAAACUGACAACAGAGGGACUCCUGAAUAAUUAAGCACACAAUGAGCAUUUAUGGAUGUCUAACAUAGAGGAAAAAGCUAGGGACAACAUGCAUAUAUGAUUUUUACCUCUCCUUGAUAAACCUUAGAGAGGAUGUCCAGUAUCAACUCGAGGGUGCCAUCUUCCAGCUACCAAAAAUGUAAAGAUGACUAAGACUUUUAAACACUUCAUAAUUAUAUAAUUUAUCAUCUCUAGAUAAUAGAGUUUUACCUGAAGAUUGAUCUCAUAAGAUGCAAUAAAUGCUGAAAUAAAAGUCCUCACGACACUACGAUGACCAGAAAUUGGUCCCUGGGAAAGUGAAAAGUAAUGAUAGAAUCAGCAUAGGGAAGGAUACCAUGAAUAAAAUUUGCAGAGGAUUGGUGAAAUAGAUCUCACACCAUUAUUUGAUAGAAAAAUAAGUGCCAAUCUCAAGAAAACAGACAAAGUUAAGCACGGUAUCUAGAAUUUUAAUCUCGUAACUUACAUCGAAAUCAUUCAAUAGAUUACUUUGAAGGAUUUCAAGGAAAUAGCUCAAGGAUGCUGCCUCAAAGGCUUGAUGAACAUAGCUCACGUGAUCAAUAUCCUGGUAAUCAAGUAAGAGUAAAUACAUAUAUAUGAACAAUGUGUCCUCUGACUAGGUAAUGGAAGUAUUCUCACUUUCAUACCAUCAGGAAAGGACUUUCCUCCUUCCCAGGAAGAGAUGAAAUAAGACACAGGAAUACUGCCCAUGCCAGGACGAGAGGUCCUGCUUCGUUUACUUCAGAAGUGUUAAGGCUUGAAAUUGUUGCAUCCAUCUCUUGAACGUCAACAAUGGAAAAGACACAAGUGCCAGACCUUAUAAGAAAUAUAGAACCUUUAGACAACAUCGACAGAUAUUCAGGAGAAAGUAGGAUAAGACAAAUUGCUGGUUUUGUAUCCUAUUUGAAGAAAGUUUGAGACUAUUUGUGCAGUGUCCUCGCUAAUUAGUUAAACAAACCUGAAAGGUACUCCGUCGUGAACCAUUUGUAACAGAUUCUCCAUAUCCAAUGUUUCUAUAAGAAUCAUCAGCAACUGAAUUUGAACACGACAUGCAGAAUGUUGUGCUUCAACUGACACAGCCAGCUUGCUAAAAUUAUAUGAACCUGAAAGAAUCCCCUGCAACACAGCACUUAUAAGUAAAUAAGGUUGGUUACAGAAAAAACGGAACCAGUCUCAGGCAUGUGGCUAGUGACUCGAGAUACCUUGUAGAAAGAACACAGUUUUCUCCAUCUUUCUCCAUUACAAGAGCAAUAUGAUUCAUUGUAAAUAAGGAAAAGAAUAUCCAAAAUCAAAUUAUCUUCAAUUAGCGUCUCCUCCGCCCACAAAGUGAAUAGAUUGACAUCCUAUCAAAAACAAAACUAGAGAAAAUCAAAUUUGGACCGAAACUUAGUGUCUCCUCCUCAGUGCCUUAACAUCAGUAUAAUUUAAGAUCCUACAUAGAAUAAGAUCAAAUGAGAUGUUAAGAAGGGCUAGAACUCAGAGCACAUACCAUAUUCUUUGGAAAACAAGAGGACAAAAGGUCCUCAAGAACGGAUGAUUGUCGUCUUUCAAGCCCAUCUGAGAUCAGCUUUACAGCUUCUUCCUUAAUUGAACUUUCCUCUCUUGGCGCAUAUACUGAACAAAUUCUACAAUCAGUUGAAAAACGAGACAAAAAUGGACAAAAGUGUGGGUGGAAUUUUAGAAGCGUAACCCCACCAUCGGAAAAUAAGCUUUUGUUUUCAUUAACAGCAACUAUUUGUUAAGACAUCAGAAACUAGAAGAGACUAGGAAAAUAGGGAACAACAAAAUAACGACUUACAUGCAUGUAUGAGAAUACGCUUUGUACACUUUAGUAGGCACUGGCGCUGUAUGUAAUACUGAAGCAGUAUCUUCAAGAAUAACAUUAGAAUAGAAGGACAGCAAAAGUGUUAGCAAGAAAGCUGAAGAGAAAAGGGUUGAAAACUGCUUACAUAAUAAAGUCAUUGGCAAAUAUAUACGUAGGACAGGAGCUACAGAGCUUACACUAUAAUGAGCUAUAGAACUUACUAUAGAGAAUCAAAAGUAGAUAAAGCUGGUCCUUUUAUGUUAUUGAUAUGGCCAUGAUAGCGAAAAGCUCCAUAAUACAUAAGUAACAAAUUACAGAAAAAGAAUGAUAGCAUACUGAAAGAGUAUUUCUUGAGUUCUUUCUAAGAAUUUAUAUCAUGAACAACAAUCGGAAUAUUCAAAAGAAAUCUUCUAACCAAAAAACAGGAAACAAAUAUAUUUAAAAAAACUUGUGAAUUCUAACUCAUAGAUCAUCACCUUCACAAGAUUCUACCCAUACAACAAAACAUUGAUUUAUAUGCAAGAAUGAAGACUGAAAAUUCCAAAAAGAAGCUGAGACACGUAAGCUACUAACCAUGUCAAUGAAUUCUUGAGUUAGUUCUUGAGCUACCGAGUCAGUUGUUCCAUAUUCCUGCUCCAUAGAUCUUUCCACGAGGAUGUAUGAUUGGAUUUCAUCUAGAUUCUGGCCAAGAUUUCAAAAAUUCAGAAAAAAAAUUCAGAACCAUGUCAGUUUUUUUCUCCACAUCCAUUCUACUUAUAUAAUCAUUUUCAGAAAACAAAUUCAGAAAUCCACAUCCAUUCUACUUAUAUAAUCAUUUUCACUAAUACAGCAUAUAUAUGAAGCCUACAUGCUUGAUUGAAGACUAUUUUGAAAUAGAUGAUAAAGUUUUCUUUCGAGUUCAAUUGAAAAUUGAAGAGUGGAAAAGAAGCUAACCAGAUGAGAGCUGAUUCGAAGCGCUUUAUCUUUCAAUUGGGGCUUUAUCACCAACUGGUGCUCCUUAAUUUUGACUAGAUCCGAAUUCAAAGCUUCUUUUGAUUUCUCACUCGGUGGCUUGAACAUCGACAGAGUUCCAACGAACCACGCGUGAUUCUCCUCCAACUUCUUCGCCUGAAAUUGAAAGAGCAGACCAAAAUAGCACCAGUAUCCCCCACGAAAACACCCAAAUCGCAUACGUAUAUGAAGAGGAAGAGGAAGAAAGAUAUUACGAUGGGUUGAGGAAGGUCAUCGGAGAGAGAUGCAUUCUCGAGGUCGGUGAGAAGAGAGUCAAACGGAUCCCACCAGAGCGACGAAUCGACAGAAUUAGGGUUCGCCAUUGAAAGAAGUUAGUGAGACAGACACCAGUGAGAGAGAGAGAGAGAGAGAGAGAGAGAGAGAGAGAGAGAGAGAGAGAGAGAGAGAUGAAAUUGGAGCUUUUUGGAUUUUUUUGUUUUUUCGCGCUUUUGAGUAAAUUAUUUCUUCAGGAAAAUAAAAUACCAAUUAGUAAUUCAUAUUGGGCCCUGAAUUCUUCUCUCUUUUUGGGUUUAAUGGGCCCUGAAUUUUAUCCUAUCAGUUUAUCACUAAAGGGCCUAAAAACCCAUCUACGUUUUCCCACUAUUGUAGCCGACAUGUAAAAUAUUUUUCUGUAUGUAUUUUUCAUAUUGUUUAGAAGAUUGAAUUUAUUCGUCAGAUAUAUUAUUAGUCUCAGUGGACUGUCGACAACGUAUGGAUAGGUGAUUGAUUCACCAGUAGGGAGCAAAUAAAACUAGGCUUAUGCGAAUAUCUUAUGAAAGAUCUGCCUUUCUUUUACCAUCUCCCAUUUUUUCACCUUUUUUACAAAAAAUGUACGUAUAUAUUAAUCUCCCAUAUGUUGUCGCUUAGUGACAAAAAUAUGGUCAAAAACGUUUAUGCGCGCGAAAACGCAAGCAAGUUUUUUCUCCCGAGGACUCUUUAACGCAAAAUUCUUGUUGAUCAUCUCAUGAUAAAAGAGAAACGUAUCAUUACCAUAUUAUUGUUGGAAGAUUGCGGGAAUAUAAACAACCAGUCUACACAAAGAGAACUCAAAGCCAACAAAAGAAACAAGAUAUAAAACAUAUGCAAAGAUAAAAUAUUAAAAAAAGGCAAACACGUUGAUUAUACAUGAGUAUACGUAUAUCUAUAUAUACGUAUUUAAUGUUUCUCAAGGGUGUGGAGGCAACGGAGGCCAUUUCCCGAACUUGGGGUGGUGAAUGUAUUUAGGAGGAAGAGGUGGAAACUUUGGAAGUGGUGGGAGCUGUGGAAGUGGCGGACAUGGCUUCUUUGGAAUCACCACUACCGGUGGUUUGUAUACUGGUACCGGCGGAGGGCAUGGCUUCUUGGGGAUCACAACCGGUGGUUUGUAUAUUGGUACCGGCGGAGGACACGGCUUCUUCACAAUUGGUGGUAUGUAGAUUGGUGGAUGCUCUAUCUUCGGCGGCGGCUUGUAAACCGGAACUGGAGGUGGGUGCUCUAUCUUCGGCGGUGGAAUGACUAUCUUUGGCGGCGGCUUGUGGACUGGAACCGGCGGUGGAUCAACUUUCUUAGGCGGACAAGGCUUCUUCGUUGGUGGUUUGUGGACUGGCACCGGCGGUGGAUCAACUUUCUUAGGCGGACAUGGCUUCUUCGGUAGCUUGUGUACCGGAACGGGAGGUGGGUGCUCUAUCUUUGGCGGGGGCUUGUAAACCGGAACCGGAGGUGGCUUCUCUAUCUUUGGCGGUGGCUUGUAAACCGGAACCGGAGGUGGGUGCUCUAUCUUCGGCGGUUUAGGUGGACAAGGCUUCUUAGGAAUAGGCGGUGGAAGCUCCACCUUUGGUGGUGGCUUGUAAACUGGGACAGGUGGUGGAACCUCUUUCUUAGGCGGUGGAUCGUAAACCGGAACCGGCGGGGGAAUCUCUUUCUUUGGCGGCGGCUCGUAAACUGGUACCGGGGGUGGAACCUCCACAGGAGGACUGUAUUUAGGUGGACAUGGCUUCUUGAGAAACGGUGGAAGUUCCAAAGGUGGAGGUAAAGGGAAAGGAUGAUCAAAGCCCUUAAAAGGAGGCAACUUAGGCAUAGGCCAGAAGAAUUUGGAAACGCAAAUCUCCGGUGAAAAUUUCAGAUUUUGUUUGAGACCCAAAAUGUGUUUAUCCCCGGAUUUGGAUAAAAACACGAUCUUGGUGGACUCAAGGCCGUCGUGAGCCGGACAAGGUGUUCCCGCCGCGCUGUGAAGCUGAGCGUAACACUCCUCCUUUAACGCUCCGUUGUCGGAGACAAUGUCAUGAGGAAUAUUAAGACCAAACUUUCCUUUGUCGUCAAUGUUUCCCGAACCUUUUGUAACAAAAUGGCCUUUAUUCACCUUACAGUCGAUCGUCACUCGAAGUCCUAUAACAAAUAAUAUCACACAUUGAUCAAAUAUAUAUUCACAAAAAAAUAAACUAUAUAGUACAUAAGAUAUUAAUGUAAGUUAUGAGAUACCUGAAAAUGCAUGGGGGGUUUUGAUCUUGCUCUCGGCGUAACCGACAACUUCGACGACACGAGCGAGUGAGAGAGUCGCUGAUAAGAGAACCGACACAAGAAGGAGAAGACACGGAACCGAACCUCGAGGUUCGGGUAAGAUCCUCAUUGGGAUUCUCACCCUCUGAGAUUUCUGACACACUUCCCUUUCGUUUGCUGAAAAUAUAAAGAUUAUAAGAAGAACAAAAACAAACUAUAGAGUAUUAGUGGGGAAGGUGAUGAUAUGAUUAUAGUGAGACUUCUUCUCGUUUAUAUAAUGGUCUUAUCAAAGAUUUUUCUGAAGAUUGAUCGUAAUAAUUACUUCCGAAUUAAUUAACGUUUAGUUUUUUUUUUUUUUACCAACAAUAAUUGGAUUCGGCGGUUCCUAUUAUUUUGUAUUGUGUAUCAUUUAUUUAAUGUCGUCAUGGUCCAUCUUCUCGUUGUUACUUUCGUCUAUGCGGCACUUUAUGAUAUUUUUCAUGCAGGGUGGUUGAAACACAUUGACUUUUUUUUCCUUAAUACGACAACGGCAUUCAAAUUUUAUUUUUUGUUUCCCUCAUCAACGUUAUUGCACGAGACAUAUGCGUACAACUUUUGACACACGAAACUUUUGAUCCGCAAAUAUGGUUAAUUUUAUUGUUAUAGAGAUUGCAGGAUGAGCAUGCAUAUACUUUUUUUUUGUUUCACACACACGCUAUGGUUGAAAAAAGAAACUGAAUUAAUCAGUGCGUGUAUACGGCUCCACCAACCCAAAAUUGAAGCGGAUCACAUUAUGGUUAGAAGAGAAACUUAAAUGUUUUUAUGGAAAAAAUAUAGUCAGUCACACUACUUGUCGGCUUAUAUUUCUUGUCCACUCCGUAUAUAUUUAAGUAAUUAUUUUACCGGAAAUCCAUUACAAUGCUAACAAAUAUUCUUAACAUUUGCAGUUAUGCACGCCAUGAUAUCUACUGUUUUAACCGUAUAUACAUAACAAUAAAAUAAAGUAGCUAGUAGUAAUAAACUAACGAAAUUUGUCAGAGAAGAGGACUGAUAUGAUUUAUUGGCAUUUGGUUAGAUGGAGAUAGAAGUUAAUAUCUAUCAUCAAUCUACUUCGUCUCUGAAGUUAAUUGGCAAGGCCCUUCAAUAAAAGCAGCCAGCUCAAAAGCCUACUAGUAUUUGUUCCUUUUUCUUUUUUUUUUCUGGACAAGCUAAGCUAACUACUAUUUGUUCAUUUUAAUUUGAUGAAAAGUGUAUACGUAAACGUUUGAUUACUAAAUCUCGUUUUGUUCGAAAUGAAUAGAAGAGUUAAAGAACACUUAUGGAAUAUGAGAACGUAUCAACUUGAUAACAAAUAAGAACGCAUAGCACUUUUACAAAUUCAACUUUAUAUAUAGUACAAGAAUUCAGCUACAUAUGUAUCGCCGUAAUUUUCUCUGAAAACUAUUAUAUAUUGUUUUUACACAAAUGACCGAUAUCAAAUGUUGAAAUUCAAAACUUUCACCCACUCUUCAUUGCUAGUUGCUACUAAAUCCUUACACGUUCUUAUGCAAAAUUAGCAAUAUUAUCUGAUGUCGCAAAAUUGACAUGAUGCAUAUAUAUAUGGGUGCAUGCAAUGCAAUAGCUAGUCCGACUUUCGAAUCGAGAGACGACCUGAUUAGAUAUAUAAAAAGAUAAACUACAGUCCUGACUGCGUUCUAGGUGUUAGAAACUUACAACGCGAACUAGAAAUACAGAAUUGAGGAUUAUAUGUGAACGAUAUCAUAAUGUUGGUUGCCAUAUUAAAAGCUACACCUACUCAUCCACGCCCAUUAAUACGGUGGCUUUGGACAGUUGUACAAUAAGAGGUUCAAGUUUAAAGUUAUUAUUGUAUAUUCAUUUUCUGGUAUACAGAAGAAAUAUAUACUUUCAUAAUGUACACAUAAUCGCUAAUAAGGCCCAUUCUUAAAUGUACGUAAAAACAUGUAUUCAAUAGCCUAAUUGUGUAGAUGGUGAGUGUAUAUAGUCGAUCGGGGUAUAACCUAUAGCGACUAUCUAUGCUUCCUUUAUAAAAAUAAAUAUAUGAUCGCUAAUUUAAGCAAAAACAGAUGUGUCUUAUGGAAAAUUCUUUUUCCAAUAGAUAUCUAAUUAUAUAGAGCUUAACUUUUUUUUUUUAUAUUGCAUUUUGCUUUAUGUAUACUAUUAUGAUGUAUAAUAACAUAGUUAAAUAUGCUAUUUAUAAUGAAAACACAACCUUAUCGUGUGUUUUAGCAAAACAAAUCACAAAUUGUCUGUACACAAAAAAUGUUUUUUUUUCAAAACAUUCAGAGUUAAAAUUACAGUAUGUGAUAAAACACUUGAAAGUUAUGUGCGUAUAAAACAAUCAAUGUAUAAUAUAUAUGGAUUUUACAGCCCUAUGUAUAAGAAAGAUAAACCCUAUAUAUAUUAGGUAGCAAACUAGCAAUAAUAAAUGAAGUGAGAAAGAAAAAAAGUAGCAAGAAAAUAAAAAGAUCUAAUUUUUGGGCAACCAAGGAUAUAGUCCCACAUGGUGUGAGUUUUGCGAUAUUAGUUUUGUUAGGUGACAUGCGAUAAAUAUGUGAACUGUAUAUGGUUCCCCACAUUGAUUAAAUCGAAAAUUGUUUUAUGUAUGUAUGAAAAUUUGUUUUUUUUCUCUCCAUAUGUAUGAGGCGUACGUAAAAAUAUCCCGACGAAUGCAGAUCUGGAUGUUGACAUAUUCUCUGAAUAUACAGUUACAUUGUUUAUAAAAACUCACAUAGAUAUAUUGAAUGUAAAGGACAAAAGGACCCAGAGAUUUUUACUACUUGUAGAAGUAAAACACAAAGGUUGGUGUCCAGAAUUGUACGGAUGGAUUGAAAAUGUGCGAAAUAAUAUAUAAAUGCUACUUAUCUAACAAAAGUAAAACAAUGUUGAUACAUCUUAUAUCUGACAAUGUCACCAUGGGUGCAAUGAAUUCGAAUUCAUACCCAACUCGAAGCUAUAUGUACCAAAACAAAAUCGACUGAGGUUAUUCAAGUCAUUUUUUAUUUAAUCAUGUAACUCAAUUUGUUGGAAAGUUAAUAUUAAUUUUUGAAUAGAGACAAAUCUUUUCAGUCUAAUCAUUAACAAUUUGCAAACUCAAUAUACACCAUACAUCCAAAAAAGUCUUAAGCAAAAGAGUCAUCACGAUCGAGGUCACCAUCCUCCUCCAUUUUGCUGAACUGGAGGAAAUGAGUGGGUCGAUGGACUUGGUGAUAGUAUUCCUUGGGGGUUCCGAGUGUCAAGCUGUAGUUUAUGCUCACCGUGUGAUUCGCUCCCAUGAAGUUGUAGUUCCAGGGUCCGUUCUCAGGAACCUAUCAUUCAACAAUGUCUCAUUAUUUCAGUGCUAUAUAAUAAAAUAAUAUCUAUCAAUCAAGGGCAAACACACAAAAAUCAAGGGGUUACUGUGUGUUCUCACCAUGUAGAACCCGAAGAAACGGUCACUCAAGAGCAUUUGGACCUUCUCGUAGUGGGUGGGAAGGUAACCGUGGGGAUUGCUGCCUGUGUCUUUGUUCAGCCGUCCCCAUUCAUAUCCGGCUUGCGUCAGCUUAUAUGACGUCAAAGAGCAUGAGCCCGGAGUGAAACUACAUGUCAGGAUGAUGCAUUUUUCUGCGUCCCAUUGCUUGUUGUUCUCCAGAACACGAGUGUGAAAAGUCACAUCCUACAGCAGCACAAAAAAAACCCAGUUAUUACGUGUAAAAGUUCGUAAGAAAGUAUAAAUAUAUAUGCAUACCUGUGGUGACAACUGAGGAAGCUCGUUAGGCUGUGUGUGUAUCCAUCCCAGGGGCUCUAAAUCAUCCAAGAACUGAUGUUCCGGAAGAGACGACGGCAGUUGAACUUGCUGGUGAUUUCCGCAUUGUGGCACCAUCACAACACAACGGAUUUCCUUCACUUGAGGAUUAUCCGGCGGACUUAUCCCAUAUAAAUAUCCAGCAAUUUGAGUUCGAAGAUCCGCUAUGCAUAUAAACUUCUUCAAUAUGUUCUUUGGCAUGAUGUAGGUGUAUCCAGUUUCCUGUGAACAACAAACAAAUAAGUUUUAGGGACUUUACUUAUUAAUUUGAAUAAGCAAGUCUGAGCGAAUUACCUUUAUGUCAUCUGAGUUCACGUAGAUGUGGUUGACCCUGAGGUAGAGGUUAGUAGCUGAAAUUGCGCGCACACGCCAGUCUGUUUUGGAUCCGAAUGCAGAUUGCUCGUACGGACUAAUGGUGGUGCUAAUCAAUUCAUCACCAUGAACAUUUGUGGUUCUUGUUGUGACUGCAGUAAGCUGGCUCGCUUCCUUUGCCUGCAGGAGGAAACAUAUUCUUUUUAGAGUAACCAAAAUAAAUCUAAUUUCUGAAUGUCCCUGUUUCAAGAACCCUUGAGAGAAGUGACAGUUACAAGUACCUGUUUCUCAAUCUCAGCUAUCUGUUGCCUCUGCUGAGACGGUGGAGUAAUCUCCGCUCCAAGUAUUAUAUCUCUUAUCUCUGAUUGUGUCAGAGCUGAUGUAUUUACUUUGUUCUUCUUCGCGUAGUCGGAAAGGAUGAGAUCUCUAAGAGCAACCUCCACCUGAAUGUAACAAUGAAUCAUCUGAUGUGAGUAAGGAAGGAGGAUAACAACUUCACUAAACAAAGAAAAGAGUUACUUGAUUUUUAUUCAAAAAUAAGUAGAAACUGCAGAUGAAAAGACCAAGCGGUCUAAUCAGAAAAUACAACGGAACACUACUUGAAAGGUGGCGCAAGGGUUACCUUCAUCCAUUGGUCGUCAGUGAGAGAAGGCCAAAUGUGAUUUGGCUCAGUGACAACAGACAUGUCAGGCUUCAAUAACAUCUUUGCCUUCUCAUUGUUUACGUGAAGAGCACGAAGGAUCAGGAUGAGUCUUUGAAAGGCAGUGUACGAAGAAACAGUCAUCAACCAAUCAUCAUAGAUAUUGAAGAGGGCCAUCUGCGGCUCUGUGGCCUUCAAAAUCAGAUCACCAAAUUUUUCUAUCUUAAGACAAGCCUGGAACGGAAGCUGGAGUUCACUUCCCUUUAUAACAAUGUUUGGGAAAUCCAGCAGAUGAACCUCAAGGGGAUCCAACAUUCCUUUACGAGUCACAAUAACUUGUUUUGGCUGUUCUUCAACAGGGAGAGACCGCACAAGUGCAGCGACCUCUUCAGCAGUUUUCCAUUUUGCAAGCUGACCAAGGCGCUUCUGCCCAGCCCAAACGCUUGUAUGAAUGAUCUAGUGAGACAAAGAUCCCCAAUGGGUGUUAUUAUAGUUUUUUCAGAUAAAACAGCGGCUACGUAUUACAAUACAUUUACAUGUUACUAGUGGAAUUUAUGGGAGAGAAAAUUACCUUAAGGAAUAGUUGCCCUGUUCUUGGGUUGAAAAUAAAAAUCACACCAUUGAUUGGCUUUGUUGUUAGAUUUCCUUCAAAUGUCUUGUGGAUUGUGACACGGUAUACAUUGGUAUCAUCAACAAACCAUAUGAUCUGAUUGCUGAAUAUUUCACCAUAGUUUUGAGAUGACAGAUAUGGCUCUGUAGGCUCAGAUGAGUACAACUGCAAACCUUUCCUUAUCCUCUCUCUCAACACGUAUAGAGCGGGAUUUGACUGUAACAUUUAAAGUUUACACAAUAAGAGUCACAUAUGUAAAAGCCAAAUAAAAAUAAGCACACCACGAAUAGAAGUUCUAGUACCUUCAUGAUCUUGUUCAUUGCUUGAGCAAGCAGAGGUUUGGAACCAGGGAACCAAUUACCAAAGGCGGAAUGCAAGUUGUAGGCCAAAUCAAGCCCAAUAAUUACACCUGCGAUGAUUUCAUCAGGAUAUGAGACUUACUGCAGAAAAAAAUAAAUUGACAAACUGAAAAAGGCUAUUAAGUACCCGUUGGAGAUGGAUAGAUAGACAUGUUGUCCGUUGUGUAAUCCAUGAAUUUGGCCUUAGUAUAGCGUUCAAUAUCAUGGGAGUCAUAAUCUCCCCAUCGAAGUUGCACAUCUAUCCAGUACUUGUUACUCGCUUUCUGAUCAAACACAUCCUUGGACUCAGCGAUUAGACUAGGCUUAGACAUUGGCCAUUUAUGGGCAGCAAACAGAAGAACAUCAGCACAAGAGCUAUUCAUUUUGUAACUCUUCCGUGGAUGAAUUGUCUCUUUCUGCACAGUUUCUAUCUCCAAAGGUUCCAACUCUUGAUCCAGUACUUGGCAAAGGUCCAUAACAACACUCUCAUGGAUUUUUUGCCACAAAUGAGCACGGAAUAUCUGAAUCAAAGAUAUUUUAAGAGUAGGAAUCUUUCCGUGCAUAUAUAUUCCUGUCAAAUCCAACUGCACUUGGAAACCCACAUACACAUUCGCUCGAUUAAUUGUUGGCGACCACCAGAGCGUGAAUCUUCUAUUCGGAAUCUGGUUCAGACCAGACCUCUGUGCAUUUGUCAGUUUCUUAUAUUUCAUAGACUCCUCAAAACCAGAUGCCUUCUCCCAAAAAAGACCCUCCCAAGUUGGAAAGCUGGAUUCAUGUAAAGAAAAUUAUUUUAGCAAAAUUGAUACGGAAAGCUGUGAGCAACAAAACAUCAAAUGUCAAUGUGAAAGAAAGAACAUAAUAAAUUGAGCACGAACGAAAAGCAAGACUCACUAUGUUCCUUUAAAUAAGGUGUGCUCAAGAA